rnacentral:lncRNA from 1 species
CAUGGAAAAUUUUGAAUUUGCAAUUGUGAUGCCUCCAUCAACAAAAAGGUUGUGUCCAUGAACGCACUUGGACUCAUCGCUCGCCAAGAACAAAACAGCUUCAGCCACAUCCUCGGGCUGAAGAUAAACACCUUUGAGGAUGGAAUAUACACCCCGGCAUCCCUCAUCAUCCAUUUUGUAGAAUUCCUUUGAUUGACGAGUAGGAACUACGUGUGGUGACACGCAGUUUACGCGAAUCCCAUACUUUCCAAGCUCCACAGCCAUAUUCUUUGUGAGUCCCACCACCCCAUGUUUUGAAGAAACGUAAUUGUGCGAAGAACCACCGCCUAUUUUCGAACAAGUACUCGCCGUCGUGAUAAUGUUCCCACGACGAUUCGGGAUCAUUACCCGGGCAGCAUGUUUAGCGCCCAAGAACGCACCUACGAGGUUUACGUUGAUAAUCUUUUCGAAUUCUGAUUUUGAGAUUUCAAGAAUGCUCGGAUUUGGGAUCCCCCCAAUUCCAGCAUUAUUGUGCAGAAUAUCUAAUUUCCCAAAUUUGGAAACAGCUGUGUCAACUGCAGUUUCUACAUCGGAUUCUUUAGUUACAUCACAAUGAACAUAAGAGGCUGAUGAUGGUCCCAAUUCCUUGCAUACCUUCUCUCCCAAUUCAUCGUUAACGUCUGCAACCAGAACUUUAGCACCAUGUUUGGCGAACAAUCUGGCAGUUGACUCGCCGAUUCCAGUAGCAGCACCGGUGAUUAGAGCAACCUUGCCUUGCAGCCUAGAUUCAUACAUUUUGUUAGUGCAAUAUUCAUAAACAAUAGUUAUACAAUUUUUUUUUUCCUUGAAUCAGAGUUAUACCUUCUAGCCAAUGUUGAAGCCAUCGAUAAACUUCCCGCAGAGUUUCUUUGUGUGAAUGUGAAUUGGUCCCUCUCUGUACUUUCAAACGUCUUUUAUAAUGCUAAUCUUGAAGAGAAUCUUUACGUCUACACGCAAGUCGGCAUUAAUUUCUAACCAAAAACUGAUUUCUAAGAGAACGAUUCUCUCUUCCCAACGCAAUUAGGAAUUUAUAUCUAACUAAACAGAUUUUGAAGAUAAUAAUUCUCUGUUCCCAACGCAAAUAGGAAAUAAUUUCUAACUAAAUUCCUGAUUUUUAGGACAAUUGUUAUCUCUUUCCACGUCAUUUCCAGCUCAAUUAGGCAUUUAUUUCUAUAUAUUUAGGAGAGUUGUUAUCUUUCCUUGUCAUAUCCAACGCAAUUAGGCAUUAAUUUCUAACUGAACUGAGUUUUAAGAUAGUAAUUAUUUUCUCUUUCCUUGUCAUCUCCAACGCGAUUAGGCGUUUAUUUCUGGCUAAUCUUAUUUUCCAGAUAAUUAUUAUCUCUUUCCACGUCAUUUCCAACGCAAGCAGGCAUUUAUUUCUAACUUGUCUUAUUUUACAGAUAAUCGUUCCUAUCUCUUUCCACGUCAUUUCCAACGCAAGCAGGCAUUUAUUUCUAACUAUAAUCUGAUUUUACAGAUAAAUAUUACCUCUUUCCACGUCAUUUCCACGUAACUGUGACCACAAUAAUUGAAUUAUUGUAAUACUUCCAAAUAAUUUUUACUCAUUUUAAAAGAAAGGGGGUAUUUAUUAUUAUUUUUUUCACCGUGUAGAAGAUAGAAUCAAUUCACUUCAUAGCCGUGUCAAGUCACAUUAAAGACCAUAAGGUAACAUCCACUUACUUUAUUUUUUUUUAGCUUAAAUGCCGACUAAACUCAACAAAAAGUAAAUUCGUACAAGUUAAAUUUGUAGCUUAAAUUAAAUAACGCAGACUGAACUCAAGAAAAAGUAAAUUCAUACAAGUUAAGUCCAAAUUAUUAUAAUUCGAAGAAACAUAUUUAACAAAUAUUACUUUAAUCCUUGUUUGACAAUUAUUAUUUUCAAACUUUUUUUUUCUAUAUAUUCAUUUUUAACCACACAUUCAUACAAUAAAAUAUUCUAUACUUAAAUUCAAAACUUUUUUAACUUUUUAAUCACGCAUUCUCCUAAAAAUCACUAUUCAAAACUCUAUUUUCCUAAAAUAAAGGUUGUCAAACAGUAAUUUAAGAUAAUGAUCAUCAUAUUACAAAAGAUUAGUCUUAUCUUCAAUAUGUGAUUAAUCCUAUCUUAAUUGAACUCUGUUGUUUGUUUUAAAUCAAGAUAAGAAUAAGAUUGAAGUUGGUAACAGGAAAAAAAUAAAUAAAUAAAAUUUACUUCCGGAAUCUCUUUUUGAUACCCUAUCUGUAUUUAGACCAUUAUAUAACUCUUUAUGUACAAGGUGCAUUAUUCGAAAGUCUAACCCUAUUGUGUCGUGCGGAGUUAAAAGAUCCAAGAGUCGUGAACUACUUUUCCUAGACAAGAAGCGUUGACAAGAUAUGGAAAAUAAGCAUAGGCUAUUCGAAUAUUCGUAUGACUGUCCAUAUGGUAACUCAUGAUUCAUGGCAACUUGUCAAGAAAAUGAACACAAGAUUGAUCUAUAAAAGCUGUUUUGGCAACAAAAUUGUGACAUUACACGACCAAAUAAUUCAAAAUUUUUUACAUUACCAAUUCUCUUUCAACUUUCUUUCCAAUCCAACCAGCAACAAUAUGCGUAAGAGCUACAGCAGGAGGAGAAGCAGCCUUGUGGUCAGCAAAGGUCUAUGCAAAAGUUCAACCCUUUUCUCCAGUUUCAUUGGUCGAAAUUCCAAUCUGUAAUGCACAAAAUCCAUCCCCAUUUCAGUUCCACUACUGUAUUCUUUCACUAUGAUUAUGCUAGAAGAACAAAAGUACCUUUUCAAGCAAAGUUUGUACAUCCACACCAGCUGAAAUUAGAGCAUAACAUAGCCCAAAAGAUAUCAAGGAUAGAGUAAUGGAAGUGACUAAAUAUGCUCCUCCAUAUUGUGCUAGAAGCUCCAUAGCUUGGCCUCUCUUUGACUUACUUUCUUGCUUUUCUUCAUUACCUUGCCCGUUUGUGUAGAAUAUCUGCAUAUUGCUUAGAAAAGGAAUCAUGUUAGGUGCAUAAAGAUAGUACAUCAUCUCGUCUAAAAACUUAAAUCCUAAAAUAGAAUAUACAUGCACAAUUUUCAUAAAAUGGGUAGCGAGUAGACUUGGCCUCGAGAACUAGCCGUUUUUAUACUAGUAUGUUGAAUUAUCAUCUAAAAGUUAUUAGAGAAAAGAAACUUAUUUAUGUCUACAACAGUGUUGAUACUAUCAUACAAAUCUAAAAUAUAAUGAAUAAAUAAAUCUUUUUGAAUUGGAAGAAUUCUGAUUGUUGAAACCUAUAAAAGUAGUAUAAUCAAGAGAAUACUGUAAAGAAAAGGGGUGGUUCAAAAUAUUACCUUCCAAAGACCAGCUUCAAGUCCAUAAUUCUAUGUAAUUUCCUCUGCAGCAGAAUUAUUCUUGAUCUGCUCUGUUUUUUCCUUCACAGCUCUGACCCUGAACCUGUUGAAAAUGGACUUAGAACUGUAUAUCGAGAAGUCAAACCUGCACAAUUUUCCAUUAUCGAGCAAAAUUGAAGAAAAAACAGGCUUAUUGUUCAAGUGUUGAGAAGGGGGUUGCAAAGUGUGGCCACUGCAUAAUGGCCACAUAGACGAGAGAACUGACAAAUAUCUCUAUCUCUGACCCCUUUAUAUACAGCACAAUUUACAUUUAUCUUAAAACCCUAAACGUUUUAAUUACGGAAUUCGGCGCAAAUGGUCCUUAACAUUUAUUUCUUGGCUUGAACAUCCAUAAAUUAUGUGUCUUGGGGCACAAUUGAUCAUUUUUCAAUAAGAAAAGAUCAAUAUGUCCUGAAUUUUAAUUAGAAUAAAUUGUAGCUAGGUCCCUAGCCAUUGGAAAAUUUAAAAAGCCCCAAAUCUUUUAUGUAAUAAUAUUGAUUUUUAACAUACUAGUUGUAUCAUUAUAGUCGUCCCAAUAAAUAAUUCCAAAAUGAAAGAAAAAGUUAAAUUAUAUGAUAUGAAAAACUUGAAUAAAAAUUAAGAUAAACGAAUAACAAAAUGACUUUGAUAAUUUUAGAACAUUUAACCAAUAUCGUUGAUAGUUGUAUAUGAAUCGACACUGGUCAAAUAACAUUCAACUCAUAAAUCAAAUAUAAUUUUGUCCAAAGCUUGGUGUUUGACAAGUGUAAACCGAACAUUUAUCUUGGCUCUUUGCGAGGCUUUUGUUAGUAUUUUUGAAUUCGAUUCUAUUGAUUUUUGUUUCUUUAGGAUAAACCUCUAACGUUUACGAUAUUGUUAGUGAAAUUGAUGAAAGAGAUCAGAAAAGCAAGUUUACAUGGCAUUGAAAUGAAAAGGAAAAAGAAAGAAAUAAAGUGGACCCGAACGUAAUGUGAACCCGCGUAGUUAAUUGCUACAAAACCCACGAUCAAGAUUGAAAUCGUCCCCAAGAAAGCCAAAGCAAGGUUUUGGAUUAAACCGAAUGAACUUGGAACCAAGCAACUCGAAUUGCUGACGAUGUGCGGAUCUCUUGAUUACGCAAAUUGAUUAAAUAUAACCCGGUUUUGUAGAUCUGACCCAAUAAUGUUGAAUCAAACAACCGUCACAAUCAUUUAGAUAUGCCGACCUUUUGAUUACAAAGAAUUAUAGAAUCAAAAUCCAAGUUUGAACGCCAUAAGACUAUUAAUCUUGAUGAGUUCGAUUUUCGUUCCACCCAGAACAAGAAUUGAGGCAAAGCUUCCAGAAAGAAAAUUCUCUAUUUUAAUUCAUCAUGUCAAAAGUUCUGAAUACAAUGGAAAAUAUAAUCCCUAUCUAUACUAAAACCCUAGAAUCUAAUUAAAAUUGAAAAACGUCCAAUAUAACUUAAAUAUGGCAAAAGAUUAGACUUCUAAUCAAAAUAGGAAACUUGCGAAAUUUCUGAAAAUUCUGUCCCCGAAGCUACCUUAUGCGGAUCACAUCAUUCACUCUCUCUUCGAAAAGAUUCAACCUCCAAUCUGAACAUUGAUCAUCCAAAUUGUAGCCUUUAUUCACCGAUCAUGGCAAGAACAUGAAAUGGCCCAUCACCUCUCAGAUGUAAUUUGGACCUCCUUUGAACUCAAACUCGCCGCCUUCGGUUGUAAACCCAAUAACCUUCACCUGGAUCAAAAUGUGCUCGCUUGAUCUUGCAAGUUUGGAAUGCUCCAAUAGCAACUCCAUUUGAUGAAUAUCCAUGCAUUAUCCUUGCUUUACUUGGUCUACGCACUUGAAACAAUGUCACUAUCGAUGUUCCAAUGCUGCCCCGCAGUUCAUCUUCUUCAUUCAACUCUUUACAUAGAACUUUGACCAAUGCCUUUGAAACUCCUUUGUCUCCUCCGGAACCACAAAAUCAAUUUUCGAUAAAUAAGAUAUCUCCAAGUCAAAAAGUUGUUGCUGUAUUUUAUCCACCAAUUGAUGCUCGAUGCUCGGCUUGUAAGGGAUUCCAAUUGAAUUAAUUUCUGGAAUUAAAUCUUCGGUAGCCUGUAAAACAGAAUUAUCCAAAAUAGGUAAGGAAUUGUUAGUUAUCACCAACACCUCCUCAACUCCACUCUCCCUUCCAUUUAAGCACACUUCCAACCCUUCUUUCAUCUCUAAAGACUCUUCUUCAUUUUCACCCCGUAACUCCAAUUCCAUCUUUUCAUUUUCACUCUCGACAUUCUUUUCACUUUCCCAUGGCUCUACACCCUUUUUCUCACAAUGAACCACCUCACAAUUUUCUCUUUUACACCUUUGCUCCACCAUGCGAUUAAUUUGAGAAUUUAUUAAGUCACGAAUCUCCGCCAAUUCUCGCUUAUAAUCCAACCCAACACUCUUGCUUGAUAUCCUUACGGCACACCUCGCAGCAGGCGUUUUCUUUUCCCUUGGAUACUCAUCCCCGUAACAUCUAGUAGGCUUCUUACUAAAUUUUAUUUUUCGUCGAUCCCUCUUAUAAUGAUUUGGCGCAUAUCGUCUCCUCAUAAUAUGCCUAACUCAUCCUAAGUUUCAAUACGCCUCUCACCAUACCUUCGCCUAGAUAUUGUAAACUCAUCCUACCAAGUUAUUUCAUAUUCUACGAAUGAGCUCACAACCAAUUUCAACUCCUUCUCCCUAGAAUAAUCAUAGCACCCAAACAAUAAUUCAAUCUUUUCUUCCCAUGCCACGUACCCCUCGGGAUCAUUCUUACCCUUAAAUUUUGGAAUUGUCGUUUUUAUACUCCUAUCUACACCAUAUCCAAAAUAAUUUCUAUCAUGUUCUACAAGCCUAUCGCCUCUAUUUUUCAUUCCCCGUAAAUCAGCCCCAAACAUCGCAUCAUCAUCUAUGUCACAACCAUAUCCAUAUGUCUUACAACUUUUCAUCCCAGGCUCCAAUUUAUCCCGUCCCCGCACAUUAGACACCUCAACACAUUGAUCCCUACGAAAUUCAUUCAAUUUCGAAUCCAUCCUAUAUAUUGUAUCUUCCAUAUCUCCAAGUAAUUUCUCAAAUCUCUGCACCAUCCUUUCAGACAUUAACUUGGUUUUCAAUUGGGUUGUGUGAAAAUUGUGGUUCCAAAACUCAAAAAAGAUUUGAACUGGAAAACUUUGAUUUUGGAAUUUUUUUAAUUCAAGAAAGUGGUUAUUGAAUUGGAAUUUGACCUGAAAAAAUAAAAUUUUGAUUCAAGAAAUAGUCGGCAAAUUUUUUUGACACUUUUUUUCGAUACUAUACGGAAUGAACAGUACAUACAGUAAAAAAAAAAUUUGGAACUUUUUUUUAAACUCUUUGGAUAGAAAAUUUAACUACGACACUGACACAACAGACAGAAGUUGAAAUCAACUCAAAUUGAAUCCAAAAACAAUUUUUGAAAUUUUAUUGGAAUUUUUCUGGAUCAAAGACUCAAAACUAAUGACAGACACCAAGAACACAAAGGCAAAAGCGGAAAACAAUCAAAGACUCAAAAACCAAAAAAAGAAAAAGAAAAAAGAAAAUAUAUAACCUUGGAUUGGUGCCUAAGCUUUGAUACCAAUUGAUGUGAACCCGCGUAGUCAAUCGCUAUCAAACCCACAAUCAAGAUUGAAAUCAUCCACAAAAAGCCAAAGCAAGAUUUUGGAUUAAACCCAACGAACUUGGAACCAAGCAACCCGAAUCAUCAACGAUGUGCGGACCUCUUGAUUACGCAAAUUAACUGAAUAUCACCCGAUUUUGUAGAUCUGACCCAACAAUGCUGAAUCAAACAACCGUCACAAUCAUAUAGAUGUGCCGACCUUUUGAUUACAAAGAAUUAUAGAAUCAAAAUACAAGUUUGAACGCCACAAGACUAUUAAUCUUGAUAAGUUCGAUUUCGAUCCACUUAGAACAAGAAUUGAAGCAAAGCUUCCAGAGAGAAAAUUCUCUAUUUUAAUUCAUCAUGUCAAAAGUUAUAAGUACAAUGGAAAAUAUAAUCCCUAUUUAUACUAAAACCCCAUAAUCUAAUUAAAAUUGGAAAACGCCCAAAAUAACUUAAAUAUGGCAAAAGAUUAGCCUUCUAAUCAAAAUAGGAAACUUGUGAAAUUUCUGAAAAUUUUGUCCCAAAACUGCCUUAUGCGGAUCACAUUAGAAUGCAUGAAAAUACUUGGAGAAAUUAGAAUACCAAGCUUGGUUAGGAGUCCAACUCGUUCAACAGAUCUCAAUUCGAAAUUAUGUACCACGAGUUAUGUUCGUUUUGGUUUGGGCUGCCACACAAGGCAAAAUCAGGCACUUGAGAGAAAUUCUAUUUUUAGCCCCGAAAAUUCUAUCUAUUGUACAGUCUUAGGGUCUUUUAGAUCAUUAGAUACACAGUUUUUGCACCUUAAUUUUCGGUCUGUAUAUACUAGAACCCCAUCUACUUCAUAAGGGAGCUUGGAGGAGAUGCAAAUUUAGACCUAUGGUUUGGUGAAUUGAAGAAGAAUUGGGAUUUCGAAGUUCCCACUUAAAGAUUCCACAGCCUUUCUCGUUUUUAUAUACUGGUCGUGUCAAGCUAAACUCUUAUUUGCUUGAUCACUUCGAAUAUAUAGCUAAAUUUUCAUUAGCUAGGAUGGUAAUGUAAACCACUCUUUUGAAACCUUAAUUUAAUUUUCCGUUUAGAACUUCAAAUAUGAGUAUUGAUUGAUUACUUGUUAUUGAUUUUAUUGCUUUCAAUUUUUUUAGCCAUCUAUUGAAUGAUUUACAGACUGUAUUGACAUUGAGGGGUGAUGUUCAUGUUUAGCUCAAAUAAUUAACAUGUACACAAUACUAAAAAAAUAACAAGUAACAUAAUCUUGAGAAAUAUAACAACUUCACAAAUAGAAAUAGAUUUUAACUUUAUUUGAGAAAAAUUGUUAAAUAAUUUAGGAUAUCAUCGUCAACAUAAAAAAGAAGUGUCAAUUAUGUGAUUGUUUGAAUUAAAGUAGAUAAAUAUAGGAGAAAUCAAAGUUACAUUUGAAACUUCUCCAAACUUCUCAAAGUAUUUUUUACUUUUAAGUAAUUUUUAGUUAAAUUUAAAAUUCAUUUAAAAUUUGGUAUAGACUAUAUUCACUUAGAUUCAUAACUAAACAUUAGUUCUCAUGGAAUCAACACUCCAUUUGCUCUUGAUUACUUAUCCACAAUAUUGAGCACUUAUGAUUUCUAGACAACAAAUGAGACAGUCAUUACUAAACUGAAAGACAUGUUGAAAAUCGAGAAUUUUAAAUUACUAAGAAUUUUUCAAUGAAAAUACCACUAAAUGACCACAACAAGAUGUCCUUUUUAGUAAAUGUGCAUUAUAUAUUAUUAUUUUUUUUACAUAAAAUCCAACCAUUACUUGAUAGGUGCACAACUUUUGAGGCAAAUCUUGAAAGCCGCCAAGACAAGAUUCAUUUUGGGAGAGUAAUACGAUAGUUCGACUAAUUAAGAUAGCUCCAAGAUAGAACUGUUUUUCAUCUUUGGAGAUGGUUCGAGUUGUUUUCGGAGACAGUUAAAAUAUUCUAGCGUACUAGUAAUUGUCUCAAAAAAUGAAUAUUUUCAUGAAAGUCUCCAAGAUUGGCUCAAACGAUUGAAAUCUUUAUGUGAUACCUAAUAGCGUACAAUCAACUUUUUUAGAAAUUUGAUUAUUUGCCAGAGCUAAGUCUAGGAUAUAUUAAGUGAGUUGGGUUAAAGUAUGAUAUACUUUUAAGGCGUUUGGAGUUAUUUGUACUAAAUAACAUACAUACAUAAGAGCAAAGUUCAAACAUCUUACAUUGAGUGGAUCAUCUAUGGUACCUGACCAAGAACGCAUGUAAAUAUCAUGAGCAUCAUGUCAAUAUUUAGUUUUAAUCAUAUUAAGAAUCGAUAAUCACAAUUCAAUAAAUUAAUAGAAACGAAUUCAUACUUGCGGAAGCCAUUAUUGAUAUGAAUAGUAGUUGUAAUAGCAGUCAAGAUCUUCCCCCUCUUUACUCCUCAUAAAAUAUCAGCUAUCAAUAGAGCAAGCCAAUAAAAUAUAUGGAGAGGAGAAAGGACUUAGCCUUUAUAUAUAGGAAAUAAUUUGAGCCGUCCCAUUACGACUAGAAUUAUAAUUAGGGUUUAUUUUCGGCCCACAUACUUUAAAUUACCACAUCAAAUUAAUUACAACCCGUAAAGUGUAAAAGGCCCAAUUGAUCAUUUAAUAAAUUUGGCCCAAACACAAUUAUCAUUAUGAGUCAUAUAUCUAAUCCGUAAAAUUUUGCAAUCGAAUGUGAAGCCUACAUAUGGAAUUAUUAAUUAUUCCAACAUUCUCCCACUUGGGCAAAUAUUUGAUUGUCAUAACAAAGUUUUAACACCCGGGUUAGACUACAUAGGUGGCCACAAAAGUAUAACUUCAAUGAUGACACCUUACGUAACAUGAUCCGGUCCAACAAGAAUAUUAACACCGAACAUGGAAGUCAUUACACCAAUUUAAGAGAUGUAAGAUCAUUCCACAGCUACAAAUGUCAACAUAUCGACAUGGAUCCCCAUCCUUCAACCAAUGUGGUAGUAUGUGGUAUGAACUAAGCACCAAAUGUGAUAAAAACCGUGCUAACUCAUAUCGGUCCUCAUAAUGCGUCGAAUCAAAAUGAAGUCACAUGUCUCUAAAAGAGACUCAUCUUAUGUCUUUCACGUCAUAUUUCAAGAUGUAAAUAAUAUAAAAAGACAUAAGUCAAAUGCAUGUUUAAAAUAGUUCAUGGAUAGGGAAAAAAUUAUUUUAUUAUCAGAAGUGGCUGUACCCGAAAACAUAUGGGUUGCCUACAUACCCCGCAAGGGAUCAAGCCCAAAACGUAGUUCUUUACAUAAAUAACUCCCACUAACCAAAAAUAUCAAAUGUUUCCGCAAUACCCAUAUUAGUAACAUGCGUCUUAAAGACUUUUGGAGCGAGUCCCUUAGUCAAGGGAUCUGUAACCAUCGCCUCUGUAUUGAUAUGCUCUAUUUUGGUCUGUCCUUCUUAGACUCUGUCUCUAACAACCAAAUAUUUGAUGUCAAUAUAUUUUGAUCCACCAGAACUUUUAUUAUUCUUUGAAAAGAAUAUUGUUGCACUGUUAUCACGAUAGAUGGUGAUCGGUCUUGAAAUGGAAUCAACAACUUUCAAGCAAGAGAUAAAAUUUCUUAACCAAACGACUUGAACUGUAGCUCCAUAACAUGCCACAAAUUCAGCUUGCAUAGUAGAAGAUGCCUCUAGAGUCUGUUUAGCACUUUUUCAAGAAAUGGCACCACCAACUAAUGUAAAAAUGUAACCCGAGGUUGAUUUCAAAUCAUCAUGACAUCCAGCAAAAUCAGAAUCUGAAUAUCCUACCACCUCAAGAUGAUUUGUACGCUGGAAUGUAAGCAUAUAACCUUCAGUUUUCUUCAAAUAUCUCAUAACUUUUUUAGCUGCUUUCCAAUGCUCUUGUCCUGGAAUAGACUAUAUUCGGUCUAGUGCAAACUUGAGCAUACAUCAAGCUUCCCACAUCACUAGCAUAUGGGAUUAUCUUCAUAGACUCCCUUUUCAGCUCAUUCCUUGGACAUUGAGUUUUGUUAAACUUAUCUCCUUUUAUGAUAGGUACAUCACCAGGUGCACAAUUCUGCAUAUUAAACCUUUCUAGAACACGUCGUAUAUAAGUUUUUUGAGAAAGUCCCAAUAAGCCAUGAUUUCUAUCACGAUGUAUUUCAAUGCCAAGUAUAUAGGAAGCUUCUCCAAGAUUUUUCAUCUCAAAAUUAGCAGACAACAUUUUAUUUGUCUCAUGAAGCAGCACUAAGUUACUGCUAGCAAGUAGAAUGUCAUCAACAUACAAUACAAGGAAAAUAAAAUUUCUCCCACUGGUUUUAAGAUAAAUGCAUUGAUCAAUAGUAUUUUCGAAAAAACCAAGAGAUGUCACAACCUCAUCAAACUUCAAAUACCACUGUCGAGAUGCUUGCUUGAGACCAUAUAAGGAUUUGUUUAACUUACACACCAAGUUUUCUUUUCCUUUUACAACAAAACCUUCAUGUUGUUUCAUAUAAAUCAUUUCACAAAGAUCUCCAUUCAAAAAUGUUGUCUUAACAUCUAUUUGAUGAAACUCCAAAUUGAAGUGUGCUACAAGAGCCAUGAUAAUUCGAAAAGAAUCUUUUGACGAAACAGGGGAGAAGGUUUCAACAUAAUCAAUGCCCUAUCGUUGAGUGAAACCUUUUGCAACAAAUCUCGCUUUCUUUCGUUCAACAUUUCCUUUUGAAUCUAAUUUACUUUUGAAAAUCCACUUGUUAUCUACAGCCUUAGCAUCCGAAGGAAGUUCAACAAGAUCCCAAACUUUAUUCCUUUCCAUAGAAUUCAUUUCAUCUUUCAUGGCAGCUAUCCAUUUAUCUGCCUCAGGACUUGUCAAUGCUUGAUUAUAAGUUACAGGAUCAACAAUAUGUCCAAUAUUAAAAUCGCUCUCCAAUAAAUAUGUAACAUAAUCACUGGGCAAUGCAAAUCUUCUUUCCCUUUGUGAUCUCCUAACUUGUGGCUCAGGAACCGAUUCAAUCAUUGUUUGAGGAAUUGGAGAUUCCUCCUGGUUCCUCGAUUCUUCAUUAACAACUUCAAUUGGUUGGGAACCAACUCUUUCCUGUAUGACAGGAACUGGAACAACAACUUAAUUAGGUUCAACAAAAAUUUCUCUCAACGUGGAAUUCCCACUAUCUCCAAAAUCGUUCUCCAGAAACUUAGCAGUAAUGACUCCACAAUUCUAGUGCCACGAUUUGGACAAUAAAAUUUAUAUUCCUUUGAUCUAUUCGGAUACCUAAUAAAGUAGUCAGGAGUUGAUUUAGGGUCUAAUUUCUUUUCAAAUGAAUUAUAAAUCCUAACCUCAGCUUUAUUCCUUUCCAUGGAAUUCAUUUCAUCUUCCAUGGCAGCUAUCCAUUUAUCUGCCUCAGGACUUGUCAAUGCUUGAUUAUAAGUUACAGGAUUAAAAAUAUGCCCAAUAUUAAAAUUGCUCUCCAAUAAAUAUGUAACAUAAUCAAUGGGCAAUGCAAAUCUUCUUUCCCUUUGUGAUCUUCUAACUUGUGGCUCAGGAACCGAUUCAAUCGUUGUUUGAGGAAUUGGGAAUUCCUCCUGGUUCCUCGAUUCUUCAUUAACAACUUCAAUUGGUUGGGAACCAACUCUUUCCUGUAUAACAGGAACUGGAACAACAACUUGAUUAGGUUCAACAAGAAUUUCUCUCAACGUAGAAUUCCCACUAUCUCCAAAAUCGUUCUCCAGAAACUUAGCAGUAAUGACUCCACAAUUCUAGUGCCACGAUUUGGACAGUAAAAUUUAUAUUCCUUUGAUCUAUCCGGAUACCCAAUAAAGUAACUAGGAGUUGAUUUAGGGUCUAAUUUCUUUUCAAAUGGAUUAUAAAUCCUAACCUCAGCUGGGCAUCCCCAAACUUUAAAGUGAGCCAUACUUGGCUUAUGUCCUGUCCAUAAUUCAAAAGGUAUUUUUGCAACAGCUUUACUUGGAACUCUGUUCAAAAUAUGCAUAGUUGUUUUCAAGGCUUCACCCCGCAAAUAUUCAGGCAAAUUUGUUCUGCUCAUCAUACUUCCAACCAUAUCUUUUAGAGUUUGAUUACGUCUUUCAGAAACACCAUUCUGCUCAGGUGUCCCUGACAUGGUGUAUUGGGACACUAUUCCACACUCUUAUAAAAAUUUUGCAAAAUCACCCAUAUUUUGACCAGACUCGUCAUAUUUCCCAUAGUACUCGCCACCUCGGUCAGAUCUUACAACUUUGAUACUUUUCCCACAUUGUUUCUCUAUUUCCAGUUUGAAAACUUUGAAUUUCUCAAGUGCAUAUGAUUUAUCGUUAAUCAAGUAAAUAUAUCCAUAUCGUAAGAAAUCAUCAAUGAAAGUUAUGAAAUAUUUAUUCCCACAUAUAGUGGAAAGCAAAGGUCCACUGAAAUCAGUAUGAAUUAAGUCUAAAAUUCCGUUACUCCUAGUCGAACCCUUCCUCGUAGAUUUAGUUAACUUUCCUCUUAUACAAUCUAUACAGAUGUCAAAAUCAGAGAAGUCUAAGGAAGGAAGUAUCUCAUCUUUUACUAAUCUUUCCAUUCUAUCCUUAGAAAUAUGACCCAAUCGCUUAUGCCACAACAUAGAGGAUGAUUCACGAAUUAGAGCCAUUUUCUUUAAUACAUUUGUAACACAUGAGACAUCACCAAAAGAAGCCAAAGAUAAUUUAUAUAAAUCAUUACAUAAAAUGUCAUUCCCAAUCAAACGAGAAUCAUUAAAUAACUUAACCAUUCCAUUACCAAAAUUAAAUGUAAAACCACAAGCAUCAAGUUUUGGUAUAGAAAUUAAAUUCCGUCUCAUCUGCGGUACAUAAACUGUAUUUUCCAAAAUAAGAUAAAAACCAGACUCUAAAGUUAACUUCACUACUCCUAUAAAUUCAACCUUCACUUAAAUCCAUUUGCAACGCUCAAACUUACUUCAUUCUCACUUGGCCUCCGUUUGCUUAUGAACCCCUGCAAGGAAUUCGCAAUAUGAAUAAUAGCUCCCGAGUCUAACCACCAAGAAUUCAAAGGCACAUCUACUAAAGAAGACUCAAAACAAACUAAGGCCAAGGGAAUACCUGAAGAACUCUUCUUCUUUUCCAGCAAAGUCUUGAACUUAAAACAAUCUUUCUACCAGUGACCCUUCUUUUUACAGAACUUACAUUAUCAUUUUUCUUUAUAACUCUUUUGGGACCACUAAAAUUUUUAUUCUGCUGACUUCGGUGGGACUUAUUACCCUUACGAAACUUAGGUGUAUGAUUAUGAGAAGGCCCCUUAUUCUGCGAUGGCUGAAAAGCUAAUUGCAUAAUUUCAACAGUUUCACGGCGCAUCCUAUACUCUUCUUGAGCACACACUGCUAUAAGGUCAUUCAAUUCCAUUUAUCCCGCUGAACAUUGUAAGCAACCUUAAGUUGAUUAAAUUUGCUAGGAAGGCUAUUCAAAAAAUGAUAGACCAGGAAAGGCUCCGCAAUGAGAAUGUCAAGAGCCUUUAGCUUAGAUGAUAUAUUUAUCAUUUUCAUGACAUGCUCCCUAACAUCAUUUAUGCCAUCAUAUUUCAUGCUCAUCAAUUUAUCCAUCAGAUCCCCAGUUUCGACUUUAUCAGACUCAAUAAAUUUUUCUCCUAUGGCAUCCAUAAAACUUUUGGUAUUUUCAUUAUUAGGGAUGACACCCAGAAUGGAAUCAAAUAUCGACCGCUUAAUGAUUUUCAAACAGAGUUUGUUAGCCCUUUCCCACUUUUCAUGCUCGGCUACAUAUUCAAUGAUACUUUUAUCUGUGGGUUUCUCAAGCUUGUUCUCCAUUGCAAAAUCCAAGCCCAAAAGACCAAGUACUAUUUCUAUGUCUCGUUUCCAUCUUACAUAGUUAUUCCCAAUCAAUGUUUCAAUAGCAGACAAUUGAUUCGAAAGAGAUGAGGCAUUAUAAACUGUGGAAACAUAAAAUAUCACACUCAAUAUCAUCCAAACGUAAUGCAUGCAAUUAAAUGGAUGAUGAAAUAUCCAACUAAUUAAUAUGGGUUAUUAAUUAGAUAAGCCGUAAUUUAAAUCGAAACAUAUGAAUUUUAUUACGGUAAGAGCCUAGGUGCAUCAUCAUAAAGUCACCUUUGGGUUGACAAUACAAUAUGCUAUAAGGUACUCUUAAAACACAUCAUGUAGUCAGUUAACAAAAUUACACUGAUUUUCGAAACACCAACACCUUUGGGCAUAAGGAAAUUUCUAAACCAAAAUAAGCUCGUUAACCGUCUCAUGCCAUUUUCCAAAAAUAUUACAUAUAAUAACACCUUUGUACAAUAUAUUAUAUGCAACAAAUCAAAAGUUGUUGGGCAAAAAUAUAUGUAUUUUUAUUGUAGAGAAAAUCGAAUAAAUAAAAAUGAGUGUGCCACUUUGGUAGUUACCACCCAUUUUUAUUUCAAAAUAUUUCUCUUUUAGUGGGAAAAUAAGAAUCGUCUCAAUGCCCAUGAAAAAUUUAAUCACAGAAGUUAUGCAACAAAUCAUGAUCAUUAAUUGAUGAAAGACAAGAAAUUCAUAUGUGAUUAAUAUAUAUUAAUAGACGAAAUUGGCAACAAAAUUUCAAAAUGAAAUUUAAUGCAUAAAUAAUGGCAAUACAUAACAUUUUAAUGAAAUAAUACAAAAGUCGUCAAUUAAUUUUAUUAUUUAUUCAACAUAUAAUUUUAAUCGGGUCAAGUUUAAAUAAAAUUUCAAUUGGGUCAAAAUUGAAAUAUUGGAGUAAGGACUUUUGAUCCAAUUUCAAAAUUCAAAUUUAAUCACCUUUUGAAAAUUGCACUCUGACGCCAUGUCUGAAAUUAAAGCCAGGUCCUAUAGUUUCUUUAAUUACAAGCAGGCCCUUCUUUUAUUAUUUAUAAACUUAACCCCCAAUAUGUAAUUGCAAACAGGGGCUAGGAACUUACAACAGGAGCCCUCGUCUACAUCUCUCCCAAAACGAUAGAAACUGACUUUUUAUUAUUAUUAUUAUUUUUUUAUUUAACAUUCAACCACUCAUAUUAAACUUUUUUUUUUUUUAUUCUAACCCAAACAAAACCAGAUCCUACCGGAGGUUUUAUUUAAAUUUAUAUGAAGUAUGCUUUUCAAAGUCAAAAUUAUAAGGAGAGAGAGAGGGAAACAAUUUAUUGUUCACCCAUUGUAUAUAUAUAAAAGGAGGAGAGAGAGGGAAAUCAUUUAUUGUUCCUGCCUUUAUUGUUUCUGCUUGGGUUACUCCACCACGUUAUCCACCACGUGAAGGAAAUACGAAUUAAUUCAAUGCCACAUGUAAUUUUAAUGUAUGCACAUAGGACGUUUUUCAAAGUGAGAUAAGAAAAAAAAAUUCAUGAAGGAUUUCGAUCUUAACAUGCUGCUCUGAUACCAAUUGUCAAUAUUUAGUUUUAAUCAUGUUAAGAAUCGAUAAUCACAAUCCAAUAAAUUAAUAGAAACGAAUUCAUACAUGCGGAAGUCAUUGUUGAUAUGAAUAGUAGUUAUGAUAGCAGUCAAGAUCUUCCCCUCCUUGCUCCUCACAAAAUAUCAACUAUUAAUGGAGCAAACCAAUAAAACAUAUGUAGAGGAGAGGAGACCUAGCCUUUAUAUACAGAAAAUAAUUUGAGUCGUCCCAUUAAAACUAGAAUUCUAAUUAGGGUUUAUUUUCGAUCCACAUACUUUAAAUUACCAUAUCAAAUUAAUUACAACCCGUAAGAUGUAAAAGGUCCAAUUGAUCACUUAAUAAAUUUGGUCCAAAUACAAUUAUCAUUAUGAACCAUAUAUCUAACCUAUAAAAUUUUACAAUCGAAUAUAAAGCCCACAUAUGAAAUUAUUAAUUAUUCCAACACAUCAUUCAUUCCAUAGCUUACAAAACCGUCUCCAAUACCCUUUUCCCCACGUUCAAGUUCCUCCAAUGACUUGAAGUUUCGAGGAACUGCCAACCAGUCAGUGCCGAAGCCAAAAAUUCUUUAUUGUCGGCUAAAAAAUUAAGUCUAUGGGAUACUUAAAUAUAUCUAAACUCACUAUAUCUCUAGAGUAUAUACAAGGCCGAAAACACUAUAAUAUACUACUAGUAAAAUUCGAUUCAAUAAUCUAAUUCAAGGCUAAUCAAUGGCAAAACAAUAAAAAAAUAUCCUUCCAAAUUAACUGUAUGGUGAUGAAUGAAAUUGCCUUUGCUGCAGCCAAAUUAACUCCUUACACUACCAAAUUUUUCAACAAAUAUAAACAACCAGUUUCAUAUCACGAAAUAUAUGAGUUCCACAAAAUAUUUCAAGUAAUUGAAUAAAGCCCAGAUCAGAUAUACCCAAACAAAAUGCAGUAACACAAUGCAGAAAGCAAAUGAUUACGAUAUUGGGGUAAUGAAAAUUUUCAUGAAAGGUCAGUUAGUUAAAAACUAAAAAGAAUGAGCUGAGAAUCAAACAAAUGAAGAAAAUUGCAUUUUAUUCUAAUAUUUGUUUAGUCAUUCAAGAAACAGUUUUACUCGGUGUACAUCAAUGGUUAAUAGUUUUUUGAUAUGAUGUGGCACAAUGUUUUACCAUUGAUUUUAAUAAUACUUAAAACAAUUAAUGGCCUUGAUUUUUAUCUCACACAGUAUCAACCAUGAUGUGCACAAAGAACAUGAAUGUGGAAUGAUUUUUCAAGAAAAUUACAAACAUAAUAAUAUAUAAGUGCUACCUGGCUAAGAUGAGAGAGAAGAGUUUAUGAGGCUGUUUUAUGUCUCAAAGAGUGCAAAUUACCAGUGAUUUAAGAAAACAAAUUGACCCGAUCAGUUCAAUUAGGAAAAUCUUGAAUCGGGUCUAAAAUCGGUCCAAUUAGACUUAUAAGACCUCUAAUUAAAAACUCGUCUCCAAAUCCGUUAAACCAGCUGAUUUUUGGAAAACCCAUGUCUUGUUCCCGAUUUAACUGGUUCAACUUAUGUAAAUGUAUAUUUUUGAAAUCUCUGUAAAUCGCCUAUUCGACCUGAGUUCAAUCUUUUGACACUUGACCCUUUUUCUUUUUCGAGUCAAUGGUCGAAUCGAUUUUUAAAACAUUGCAAAUUACCUCCCAAACAAUACUCAAUACCUACAUAAGAGAAACGAGAGGCUUCAAAUUCUGCGUAAAGUGUAGGUAAAAAUGAUGAUCCAAAAGUCUCGAGAUUUUUCUUUCAAUCUCAAUUGUCUGUGUUUUCUUCUCCAAUGCCAGCACCUCAUUGUCCACAUCUUCAAAGGGCUGCAAAUAUAUCACCCAAGACUAAAUCUUGAAGGGGCCCCAAAAAUGAAGAUUCCGGAAGGAUGAAGAAAUCUCACCUGCUUCAGUACCCUAAGGGAUUAAGGACCUUGCCACUUGGCCAGGGCCCAGGAAGAAUAAUCCAAGGAUUAAAAACCAUGCCUACGGGGUCAAAUAUCUGUUGGUCAGCUGACCCCACAUGACCGCAUGUAGGCCGUCAGUUGAACCAACAUUUUUUUUGUCCCUCUAAUACCAGAUGAGGUUAUAAAUGGUGGCCCUGGCCAAGAAGAACAAUCCAAGGAAAUAAAACCAUGGCUAUAGGGUCAAAUUUCUGUUGGUCAGCUGACACCACAUGUAGGCCAGCCAGUGGAACCAACAUUUUUUUUUUUUCCUUUAAUACCAGAUGAAUUAUAAACUUGCGAAUCCAAAUUUCAAGAUAUUUGUAAAAAAACUAAUUUGAACCAAGUAAAUUUUAUGAGAACAAGAAAGGAAAAAUGAAUCAAUAUCAGCAUAAGAAAUUACAGUGAUCAUAGAUACAAUGAUGAACUUUAUGACUAGAACGAGAAACUUCUGAUCAGAUGUAUUUAAUAUGAUUGAAUAUGAAAAUUGCUCUAUUAUAUUCCACCGUAUCUGUCAUUUGCUAUAUGUUAAUCAAGAGAAACAAGAGAAACAGGUUGAUUAAACAUGAUAUUACUCAAACAUGGAAAACUUGGAAUUCGCAAUUGUGACCCCCCCAUCAACAAAAAGGUUGUGUCCAUGAACACACUUCGACUCAUCACUAGCCAAGAACAGAACAGCUUCAGCCACAUCCUCUGGCUUAAGUAGAACACCUUUGAGGAUAGAAUAUACAUUGCCGAAUCCCUCAUCAUCCAUUUUGUAGAAAUCCUUCGACUGUCGUGUAGGAACUACGUGUGGUGACACACAAUUUACGCGAAUACCAUAUUUUCCAAGCUCCACAGCCAAAUUCUUCGUGAGUCCUACCACCCCAUGUUUUGAACUUACAUAAUUGUGUGAAGAACCACCGCCUAUUUUCGAACAAGUACUCGCUGUCGUGAUUAUGUUCCCACUGCGAUUCGGGAUCAUUACCCGAGCAGCGUGUUUAGCACCCAAGAACGCACCUACAAGGUUUACAUUAAUAAUCUUUUCGAACUCUGAUUUUUCGAUUUCAAGAAUGCUUGGAUUUGGUAUCCCCCCAAUACCAGCAUUAUUGUGCAGAAUGUCUAAUUUCCCAAAUUUGGCAACAGCCGUGUCAACUGCAGUUUCUACAUCGGAUUCUUUAGUUACAUCACAGUGGACAAAAGAGGCUGAUGAUUUUCCCAAUUCCUUGCAUACUUUCUCUCCCAAUUCAUCAUUGACGUCUGCAACCAGAACUUUAGCACCAUGUUUGGCGAACAGUCUGGCAGUCGCCUCGCCGAUUCCAGUAGCAGCACCGGUGAUUAAUGCUACCUUCCCUUCCAGCCUAGGUUCAUACAUUUUGUUAGUACAAUAUUCAUAGUCAACCCAACUAUCAAAAUAACAUGCCUUGUACUUUGAGAAAGAAACCUCAAGAAUUAAUAGUUUAUCAGAAUGCAGUAUCAUGAAAAAUUAAAGAGUAAUACCUUCUAAUCAAAGUUGAAGCCAUUGAUGAACUUCCCACAGAGCUUCUUUGCUGCGAAUGUGAAUUGGUGUUUCUCUGCACUUUUAAACGUCUUUUAUAAUGCUAAUCGUAGAGAUAAUAAAGACGUUCACACGCAAGUUGGCAUUUAUUUUUAACUAAUCUGAUUUUCUAGAGGACUAUUCUCUCUUUCGAAGUAAUUUCCAACUCAAUUAGGCAUUUAUUUCUUAAUAAACUCCUGAUUUUUAGGAUAAUUGUUAUCUCUUUCCUUGUCAUAUCCAACGCAAUUAGUCAUUUUUUCCUAACUAAUCUGAUUUUUCAGACAGUCAUUGUCAACGCAAGCAGGCAUUUAUUUCUGACUAGUCUUAUUUUUCAGAUAAUUGUUAUCUGUUCCCACGUCAUUUCCAACGCAAGAUCUGAUUUUACAGAUAAUUAUUAUCUGUUUCCACGUCAUUUCCACGUACUUGUGUCCACGAUGAUUGAAUUAUUGCAAUACUUCAAAUAAUUUUCACGCGGCCUUCUCGAAAAUAGAAUUAAUUCACUUCUUAACAUUAUCAGUCUCAUUAAAGUUUAUAAGGUUGAAUGAUAGCACACUAAUUUACUUUAUUUUGUUUGACCUAAAUAUUUAAGUAUUGUAGAAGAUAAAAGAAAUCAAUAUUGGAAUUAUUUUGUAACUUACAUUAAAGGAAAAAAUAUGUAAAUACAACACUUUAAGUAUACAAUUUCACAUUUAACAAAUUCAUAAAAAUGUUUUAUAAAUCAAGUGCUAAAUGAUAAUAUUAUAUACAUUAUUGAAGCUGAAAUUUAGGGACUAUAGUUUAAAUUAGAAAUAUUUGAUAAACAUUAUCACAACAUAGUAAGUAGCAUUAUACUCCCUCCGCCCCAUUUAUAUAGGCUGAUUUUUUUAUUUUUUAUUUUUUUUUGGGUUCCAAUUAUAGUCCAGUUUCUUUAUUGAGAAUAUUUUGUUUUGUUUGUUUACUAAUAUACCCACAUUUAAUUUGCUUAGUUAUAACCAAAAUUUCUCAUUUAAUCUUGAAAUUGUACAAACAUAAAUAAGGGCAAUCUAGAAUUUUUUUUUUAAUAACAUUAAAUAAGUUUUCUUAAUUCCUAUGAAAAACAAAACCAUCGUAUAUAAAUAAGACGGAGGGAAUAUAUCGUUAAUAUAUAACAGAGUCUCUCACCUUGCAUUCUCUCUCUCCUCGCAUUUUCUCCCCCUUACAAUAAAUAACUCAUGACUCACCAAAAAUCUUCUACACCUCACUCUUUCAUUCUCUAUGUUAGCUUACGCAUUUUUGUAUAAUGCUAUUUGUACAUAAUAAUUUACAUAAACAUGAUGUGAUGAAAUAAAUUGAGUCAAAAUUUCUUCAAUAAAAAAAAUUCACUCACUUUUUGACACAUCAUCUGUAUGCAACUUAUUAUGUAACUCUAUUAAAUACAAGUAGCAUUUUUUUUUUUAAUUUGGUUGAAAAAAUUAUGAUCCAAUCAUAACUCAUUAUAUUAUGUGUAUGUAAAUUAUUAUGUAUAUGUAGCACAAUCACAAUUUUUUUUUUAUCUCUCUACUAUAUAUUAUUAAAUAGACUACAUAUACAUAAUGGUUUACAUACACAUGAUUUUGGUGAAAUAUACAAGUAACAUUAUUUUUUUCUUUUUAUUUGGUUGAAGAAAUUAUGACAUGAUCAUAACUCACUAUAUCGUGUGUAUGUAAAUCAUUAUAUAUAUGUAGCACAAUCGCACUUUUUCCUCUCUCUACUAUAUUUUAUUCAAUGGGUUACGCUACGUGUACAUAUUGAUUUAUAUAGAAAUGAUGUAGUGAGAUAUGAUAAGGUUAGAAUUUUUUCAACAAAAAAAAAUUUGUCUCUUUUUACACAUCAUCUGUAUGUAAACCAUUAUAUAACUCUAUUAUAUACAAUUAACAUUAUUCUUUUAUGCCCCCAGGGCAUAUCUCCCAGUGGCAAAUGGGAGGGCGGAUAGGGCUCAGCGCGGCAGUGUGCAGAGUUUGAUUCCCCGCAAGGUGGAAUUGGCUUUGUUGCAAGCGGGAGUUACCAUAUGGGUUAACAGCCUUGACCUAUCCAUGUGCUCUCCACCCUGGCUCCUGGGAGGCACAUCCUGCGAUUUACCUCCCCCACGAUGGCCCAGGGCAGGGUCGGUGGGGGCCCUUAAGGUUGGGGUUCAACCUUUUAACAUUAUUCUUUUCUUUAUUUGGUUGAAGAAAUUAUGACCCAAUUAUAACUCACUAUACCAUGUUUAUGUAAAUUAGUAUGUACAUGUAGCAAAAUCGCACUCUUUUUUUCCUCUCUAUUAUGUAUUAUUUAAUGGGUUGUGCUACAUGUAAAGAAUGGUUUACAUAAACAUGAUGUUGUGAGAUAUAAUUAAUUCAUUAUUUCUUUAACCCAAAAAAAGUAAAUAAAUAAAUAAAUUCUCCACUCUCUUUUUGACACCUUAUUAGUAUGUAAGUUCAGCCUCAAUUUGGGAUUCAUUCACCUCUACAGGUUCAAGAACAAGUUUAGUUUGCUGAUGAACAAGAUUAUUAUUAUCAUCUUCAGUUCAGCCUCAAUUUGGGUUUCAUUCACCUCUACAGGUCCUGGAGUAGAUUUAGUUUGCUGAUGAACAGGAUUAUUACUAUCAUCUUCAGGUUGAGGUAAGUCAAAUUUAGCUAACUUCAUCUCACUUUGAACUGUCCUGUCAUUUUCAAAUUUAUUUAUCUUACUAAAUUCUUAUUUUAGACAUGACAUUUCAAAUUCAUUGAAGACUAUAUGUCUACUAUUGAUGAUCUUAAUGCCCGGGACACCAAAAACCCAUAACAUGUAUUUUUUCACACUUUCUAGGUAACCUAGUGAUAAGUGUAUUUUAUACACUUAUUCGGGACUCUAAAAUAACGAUAUUUGAUAGUUCUUUGGCAAAAUACAUUCUAAAUUGUUGUCUUUUACGUUUAACAGGUGAAAAUCUACGAUUGAAAAGGAAGUGAAGGAGAGAAGCAAAAACGAGCGGAAAUAGCAAAAUCCAAAGUACAUGAAUUAAAUUGGCCAUUGGAUGCAAUUUUUGGGAAUCAAAGUCUAACUAUAAAAAUUGGACUGAUUUGCAUCGCUUUGAAAAUUGAGUACUUGGAGAAAAAUAAUCUACUAAGUGGGCUCAAUUGGACUUGCUUUGAAAUUCAAAUUGAAGAUUUACUAGGACGGUUGGACCUCUAAUUGGACUAGAAGAGCUGCUAGGUUGCAUUGCAUCGUAGGAUUCAUAUAUAUACACACAGAAAAUCCAAAGAGCCGGGGGGAGCAGCCUGGGAAAUAAUAUACAUUGGCAGCUACAAGAAUUAGGGAGACAGAAAAAAAAACAAGAGGCAGGUCGGCAUCUUUGGGAGGAGAAUUCUGCCAUCAAAGAUAUAAACACAAGUGCCGACUGCUAGGGGAUAGAGUGGAGAAAAAUCUGUGCUUUACUGGAGUGAGAAACACGCACAUAAAACGAAGGAAGAGGGGAUAGAUACAAGUUGCUGGCGGCAAGGAAGAAUUGGAGAAGAAAGAAGCAGCCAAUUAAUAUUUAGACUCACGCACAAAGAAAACGUCACCAGCUAGGAGGAACAAUAAUUAUAUACACGCAGUUGCAAUAUUAUAUAUUUACACAAACAUUGGGCGGUGACGUGAAGGAUUGUUCGGCACAAACACGGAAGUAGAUAUAUACACAUACGCCCACAGAUUCAUAAGGGUUGUUGCCGGCUGGUUUCAUUAAAAAAUUAUACACACGGGAAGACACUUUGGCAGAAAACAUAAAACACAUACACGCAUAGCAAAGACCAGAUUUGGAGAUUGAAUUGAAGGCUGUUUUUGGAGGGUUGCUUUUGGCUGAAAUAUAACACAUUGGCAUGAGCUUUUUGGGAAGAAAAAGAUACAAAAAGGAGGCAACCCAUUGGAAUAAAAAGAGAAAGACGGAGAUUUACUUUGGAAAUUAUUCACGUUUCGUUAAUUUCUCGGUGACGUUCUUCCAAUUUUAUGUGUUUAAUUUCAACAUCAUGUUAGGCUAAUUUUUCUCAUGUAUUGGAUGACGAUAAAAUUCGUUAUUAUUUAUUUUUAAUUCAAGACAUGUGGUUUAGUUAAAUUCUUGCAAUUAUUGAUUAAUCUUGCAUGCUUACUUUUAUUAUUUGAUUGUCUGAUCACCAAUUAAAUAUAUAGUUACUUAUUGUAGUGUUGGGAGGUUCACAAUAAGUUUAGAACAUUGCAUGAUUAACAUAUGUACAAUAAAUUUUAGGAAUAAGAUUUAUAACGUGUGCAAUCUUUGAGAUAAUUGUGAAAUUGAAUACAUUUUAUUCAUAUGAAUUCAGACUAGGAAUAAGAUUUAUCACGUGUGCAAUCUUUGAGAUAAUUGUGAAAUUGAAUACAUUUUAUUCAUAUGAAUUCAGACUAGGAAUAAAAUCGGAUCGUGAAUAGGAUAGAUUUAAUUUGUCUUGGAAAGGAAAAUUAAUUACAAUAAAAUUAUCGAUUGUCAAGAAUGCAAGAGCGAAACUAGCUACGUAAUCGAGAAUUGGAAUAGAUAAUAAUAAGUGGAUUCGUAAUCCAACACAUUCUUCCCAUAUACAUUUUAAAUUCGCAUUUUAUACAUUUUCAUAGAUUUCACAAAAAUCACUUUUAAUUUGUUCGCUUUGAAUCUAAUUAAGAACUAAUACACUAAGUUAAAUUUUAUUCCUCGUGGGACGAUACUCUAACUCACUAAAUCUAUUACUUGUACAACGAACCCAUACGUUUGCGAAAUUCACACGAACACCUAGCAUCAGACAUUUGAUGGUCCUAAGUUCAAGUUUCCCUUCAAAUUGAUGUGCAUAUGCAGUACAUCUAAAAACUCUUAUAUGGGUUAAGUUUAGGGGCUCCCCUAUCCACAAUUUUUAUGGAGUUUUAAAGCUUAUACUGCUAGAGGGAGACUUGUUUAUCAAGUAAGCUGUUGUACAAGUAGCUUUAGCCCAAAAACCUUUGGCCAAGCCAAAACUGAUAAGCAUGAAUCUAUAUUUAUUCAUUAUGGCCAAGUUCAUUCUCUCAACAACCCCAUUUUGUUGAGGCAUGUAUUUUAUAGUCCUAUAUCUCAUUAUUUACAAAAAUUAUCAAAUUCUACAUUACAAAAUUCAAGCUCAUUAUCAGUUCUUAGUGUUUUUAAUUUUUCUCUAACUAAUUUUCAACAGCUUUGAGCCAAGUUCUAAACUUGUGAAAGGUUUCAGACUUAGCCUAUAAAGGGUAAAUACAAACCUUCCUAGAAAAAUCAUUUAUAAGGGAUAGAAAGUAAUUAUACCAAAUGUAGAAUGCUUCUCAAGACACCAAAGUUCACCAUGUAUAUAGUCCAAGGACCUAUUAGUUCUAUGUGAGAUAGACUCAAAACUCACCUUGUCAGACUUAUCCAAUACAUAAGUCUCACAAAAGUCCACAGUCUCAAUAACAUCUUUUUCAAGUAAUUUUUGAUUACUUAAAGAUUUUAAUCUUUAUUUCCAAUAUGACCCAUUCUAUUGUGCCAAAGUUCAGAUUUAUUUUCAUUUACAGUUAGUAGACUUGGAUUAGGUGCUAUAACUGUUUUGCUUUCUAGAUAAUAUAGACCAUUUCUUUUAGGUCCUUUCAUUACAAUUAAAGAGGCCCUCAUAAUUUUCAAAGUUUUAUUAUCAGAUUUGAAGGUAUAUCCCUCAUCUUCAAGGAACUCUAAUGAAAUAAAGUUCCUUUUCAAAUUCGGGAUAUAUUUCACAUUCUUGAUUGGCCUGACAAUGCCAUCAAACAUUUCGAUAGCAAUAUCACCAGUUCCAUUCAUACUCUGAGAAUUAUUAUCUCCCAGAUACACAUUUCCAAGUUCUAUUUCCUUAUAAUUAUAAAACCAUGAUCUUUCAGGGCACAUAUGACAACUGUAUCCAAUAUCUAGAAUCCAAUCUUUAUUAGGUUCUUCAUUUGACACGUUUAGUAUAUGUAAGCUAUCUAAUUCAGAUAAAUGCAAAAUUAUAGAACAAUAGGCAAUUUCAUUCAUCUCUUCAAUUUCAGCAGUUUUUGCUUUUAACUCAUAGAAAAUGUUUCAAGAUCAUCAAGAACCUUUACAACCCUUUUUGGACUAAGUUGGCCCUCAUUUUCUGCUUCCGUAUAGGAUAGUCCCCCUUUCUAUUGAAUUGAGACAAUUUGACUUUCAAACCCAUUAUGGAUUCCGUUACAUAAUUAAAACUAAGAAUAUAGAAGCAACAAAUUUAGAUUUAGAAGAUUUUAAAAUAUAUAUAAAAGAACUCUUGGAAUUAGGAGUAAUUAGAAAAUCAAAUAGCCCUCAUAGAUCAGCAGCCUUUAUAGUUAGAAAACAUUCAGAAAUUAUUAGAGGAAAAAGUAGAAUGGUCAUUAAUUAUAAAAGAUUUAAUGAUAAUACUAUAGAUGAUGCUUAUAAUAUACCAGAUAAGACAGUUUUAAUAAAUAAAAUACAAGAUUGUAAAAUUUUUAGUAAAUUUGAUUUAAAGCCAGGAUUUUGACAAGUAAAAAUGCAUCCAGAAAGUAUUAAGUGGACAUCUUUUACCUGCCCAGAAGGACAUUUUGAAUGGCUCAUAAUGCCAUUUGAAAUUAAGAAUGCACCAAGUAUUUUUCAAAGAAAAAUGGAAAGUAUUUUUAAUAGACAUAGUAAGUUUGUAAUAGUAUACAUAGACGAUAUUUUAGUAUUUAGUAAAAAUAAACAAGAACAUAGAGGACAUUUACAAAUAGUAUUUUCAGAAUUUAUUAAACAUGGUCUAUUAAUUAGUAAAAAGAAAAUGAUUUUAUUUAAAGAAUUUAUAGAUUUUCUAGGAGUUAAUAUAGGAGAAGGAAAAAUUGAGUUAUAACCCCAUAUUGCUAAAAAAGCAUUAGAAUUUCCAGAUAAAUUAGAAGACCUAAAACAAAUCCAAAAAUUUUUAGGAUUAGUAAAUUAUGCUAGACCAUUUAUAAAAGAUCUGGGAAAAAUAGUAGGACCCUUAUAUGCUAAGACAUCUCCUACAGGAUAAAGAUUUUUUAAUCAAGAAGACAUAAAACUAGUGCAACAAAUAAAAGAAAAAAUAAAAACUUUACCAGAACUAGCUAUGCCACUAGAUUCAGAAUACUUAAUCAUAGAAACAGAUGGAAGUAUGAUAGGAUGGGGAGUUAUACUAAUAUGCAAACCCAAUAAAUAUACUGAUAAAAGUACAUAAAAAAUUUGUAGGUACAAUAGUGAAAAUUAUAAAGAGAAAGGAAACUUAAGUAGUAUAGAUGCAGAAUUAUUAGCUAUAAAUUAUGCAUUAGACAGUUUUGAACUAUUUAUUAUAUCUAAGAAAUAAAUAACUAUAAGAACAGACUGUAUAGCUAUAGUUUCCUUUGUCAAUAAAAUGAAAAUAGAUUCAAAAAGAAGUAGUAGAAGAAGGUGGUUAAAUUUUAUAGAUAGAAUUACAAAUACAAGAAUUAAUAUAGAAUUUGAGCAUAUUAAAGGUAGUGAUAAUAAAGCAGCAGAUAUACUAAGUAGAAUAAUAAUAGAUAGAAAUUAUUAAAUUUGCUUAACAUAAUUUUGUUAUACAAAUGAUAAGACCAAGGCCUAUAAGACCAGGAAUUCCACCUGGGAAUUCAUUUGCAUCAAGACUAUUACCACAGACUCCAUUUAAUCAGAACAGACCAAUGUUACAAGACAGAUUAAGGUUUGAAAACCAAGAACUUAUAGUGUUUCCCAAUAGUAAUAUUUCUUUUAAAAUUUUACCGCAUAUUUCUUUAUCUAGAGAAGAGAAAUGUAUUUUAGACAAUUUAUGGAUUUCUUAUAAUAAGAAUCCAAAAGACCAAAUAUAUUUUCUUGCAUGCAUGAAUGCAUUGUCAGAACACUUUUGUCAGAACAAGCAAAGGUUUAAAUUCUAUGUUGUUAUUAAAGGAAGAACUCCAGGAAUUUUCCAUUCUUGGAUAGAAGUUUUAGACUGUAUUAAAAAUUUUCCAGACCCUCUUUACAAAGGUUUUACAAAUUUUCAAGAAGCAUUAGAUGUUGCAAGACAACAGUUAGGAAUAAAUUUUUAUUUAUCUCCUUCUUUAAAGAACUACUCAGACCCUCCAUUAGACUUUUCUCCAAGUAAAGACCAGAAUAUUUUUUGUCAACACUGUGAGUGUAUGCAGAGAAACUACAAAGUUAUUAAUGAAGCCAACCAGAACCUUUCAAUAGAAAGAACCCAACUCCAAAAGAAAGUGGCCCAACUAGAAAAAGAGAUUUUGGAUUUAAAAGUCCAUUAUCCAACAGGUACUAUGGAGCCCAAGAAGUCCAUAGCUAGUCCAGCCCAAACGGUAGCUGGUAAAGACUUAUCAAAUCCGUUGAAGGUUGUGGACUUACCAAAAGCCCAACAGAUUCAGGGGACUGUUGAUUCCUCUACUAAAUUAGAUAAUCAGACUUAGCAGACUGAUAAAUCUACUACAGAAAAAGGUAAAUAAAUUUGGGAUCUUUUAGGAUAGCUCAGCAAAAAAUUUGAUUACUUAGUUAAAUACAGCCCACCAGAUCAUUUUUCACCAGAAUAUUUUUCAAAUAAUCCAGAAUUUUCACAAGCCCAAGAAAUUCAGUUCAGUAAGGGAAAAGAAAAAAUGGUAGCUCAAGAUAGCCAAGACUGUUUAUUCCUUCAAGAAUCACAAGAUCCUAAUCCAGAUACUGUUUCUUUAGAAAAGAUUUUUGAAAAAAUUGAAGAAUUUCAGAAGCAAUCCAAAAAAGACGAAAGAAUUUGAACAAUUAAUUAACAUGGGUAGUAAUCCAUAUAAUUUUGUUAGUAAAAUACAGAUAUUAAUAACAGGAGCAGACCCAAAUUCAGGACAUAUGAGUAUACAAAGAAAAGUUAUGAGAGAUUUAGAACAACUUAGCUUUUAUAUAUGGACUAAAGGAAGAUAUGUUAAGAACUUUUUAAAUGAAUAUCAUUAUUUAACUUCAAUAUUAGGAAAUACAUUUAAUCAAGAAAUUGGUAAAAAAUUGUUUCAUAAAUUACCAGGACCAUUAGGAUUAGAAAUCACAGAUAAAUGGAAUAAUUUACCAGCAGUAAAUAUGUAUGUAAUAGUAAUGAACAUUUAUCCAAGACUUGUCCAAAAAGAAUAAAUAAUUAUGAUAAGAAAAACACAUUAAUAGAAUGUACUAAUGAAGAUAUAAUACAAUUAGAUGAAUAUAUCUCAGAUAAAGAAUCUAUUUAUAGCAUUAUAUCAAUAGAAGAUAAAAAUUUAGAAGAAAAUAAAGAAUUUGAUUAUGAAAUAAUAGAUGAAUUCUAUAUAUAUAUAUAUUAAAAACUUUCAGUUAAAUAUAUUAGGGUACAUGUAUAAUGCUCAAAUAGCAAUUGCAGGCUAAUAACAUAGAUAUAUGUAUAUCAAUAGUUCAAAAGAAUUAGAGUAACAUAUAUCUUAUACAGAAAAAUAUCGAACCGAAUUUACAGAGGGAGAUUCAGAAAGAUCUUAUCAAUACUGCUUAAACAGUAUUAUUGAUAUAAUGCCUUAAAUCAAGCCAACAACUAGAGACUUCAAUUAAGCGACCUUCCAUCUCAAAAACAAAUAGAUCAAUGAAUGGUGUAUUGCCUAAAUUUAUCAUAGUUUAAAGACAAGAUACCAAAAAUAAGCUAUUUGUGUAGAUCGUUUCCGAUCUAUGUAGAUUCGAAGAACCGGUGUACCCUAAGGAGGUAUAUUCCGUAAGAGACACAAAACCCAUGGACCUUGAAUGCUCCGAUACUAGUUUUGUUGGGUAUUUGCGGUUGAUUUGUGUAUUGAAUCAAAGCACAAAACAUCACACACAAUAAAAACAAAAAGACAAACACAAGAUCACCAAGAAAUGUAGACCCAAUUCAACCAAUAGACCUAAUCUCAGGGGCUCAGGGAUAACCUAUUCCACUAGUGCAUAAUCUACCUUCCAAGAAAGCAAGAUUACAUAAAGAACCACUCGGACAAGGUUUUAGUCAUAGAUCAAACAGAUCCUGUAAAACUAGUAAACUGACCCAAAAUAAACCAACCAAAAAUAUAUGGAGUUAGUCUAUACAAGAACAACCACUCUCUCAGGCCUGAUCGUAUAUACAUGCUACAAGCUCCAUUUGGAUCAAUUGCAAAAACCUCAAAUACUAGAGAAGAAUUUUUUAGCGUAAAGACAAAAGAGAAAACCAAGGGAAGAGAGAAAAUCGAAACAUCUGGAAUGACCCAAAGUCUUUUGACCUAGACCACUAAAGAGACACUUUGGAUUCCAAGGUAAAAUCUCAGCCCUUGAUCGAAUCUAACGGCUCGGAAAGAGCUUUAACUAGCACAAUCCGUGUGCACACCAAAUGGCCAAUGUCUCUUGACCUAGACCACUAAAGAGACGCUUUGGAUUCCAAGGUAAAAUCUCAGCCCUUGGUCGUAUCUAACGGCUCAGAAAGAGCUUUAACUAGCACAAUCCGUGUGCACACCAAAUGGCCAACAGAUGGAUGCGACUUAAGCAGGGAUAUCUAACUAGGCAGCAAGGACAAAAUGACACAAAUAGCACUCUUUUUAAAGUGUUUUGAGAAACACGAUUUUUCACAAGUUGGAUGAAUUCUGAUUGUUGAAACCCAUAAAAAAUAGUAUAAUUAAGAGCACUGUAAAGAAAAUGGACGGUUCAAAAUAUUACCUUCCAAAGACCAGUUUCAAGUACAUACUUCUGUGCAAUUUCCUUUGCAGAAGACUUAUUCUUGAUUUGCUCCCUUUUUUCCUUCACAGCUCUGACCAUGAACCUGUUGAAACUGAACUUGGAACUCGAAAUUGAGGCAUCAAACCUACUUAAUUUUCCAUUAUCGAGCAAAAUUGAAGAAAAGAUAGGCUUAUUGUUCAAGUGUUGAGAAAAGAGUUGCAGAAAUGUGGCUAUUGUGUGUGAGGAGAGAGAGAGAAUUUGAUAUUUCGGAAGAGAUCUACUACAGGAACAGGAUGAAUGACAAGAUUUUAUACAGGUAUAUACUUGACAAAAUUUCGUUGGAAGUUAAAAUAAAAAGGAAAAAGAAAAUCUGACAAUCAAAAACUACUAUUUCAACACUUGAAAACGGCCCUUGUUAAUUUGCAAUUAACCCUAUGCAACUAGUUUAAUCCAUUUCGGAGCCAUGGAGGGGCUUGAAAAUAAAAUUCUCAGAUGGAAAGAGUGACAAAUAACUCGAUUCUACCCUUUUGCUUUCCAAGGCACAAUUUACAUUUAUCUUAAAACCCUCAAAAUUUUGUUAUUCUUAGAAAAUCACCGUAAACAUCUUUAUUAGGGAAUUUGGCGCAAAUGUUCCCAACUUCACCUUUAGUGUGCAAAUGGUCCCUAACAUUUAUUUCAUGGCUUGAACAUCUCUAUCUCAAACUAAUGUCUCGGUUCGCAAUUGAUCAUAUUUUAAUAAGAAAAAGAUCAAUAUGUCCUUUAUUUAAAUUAGGAAAAAUAAAAUUUGUAGCUAGGUCCCUAGCCAUUGGAAAAAAUUACAAAGCCCCAAAUCUUUUAUUUAAUAAUAUUGAUUUUUAACAUACUAAAUAUAUAAUUAUAGUUGUCCCAAUUAAAUUUUCCAAAAAGAAAGAAAAAGUUAAAUUAUAUGUCAUGAAAAACUUGAAUAAAAUUAAGAUAAAUGAAAAACAAAAUGACUUAGAUAAUUUUAGGACAUUCAACCAAUAUCAUUGAUAAUUAUAUAUGAACCAAUACUAGUCAAAUAACAUUCAACUCAUAAGUCAAGUAUAUUUUUUUCAAAGCUUGGUGUUUGAUCAGUGUAAAUACGACACUUAUCUCGACUUUUUACGAGGCUUUUAUUAGUGUUUCGAAUUCAAUUCUAUUGAUUUUUUUUCCUAUAAAAUGAACCCCAAACUUUUCAUGACAUCGUUAGUGAAAUUGAUAAAAGAGAUUAAAAAGCAAGUUCACAUGAAACUGGAACAAAAAGGAAAAGGGGAAAAGAAAGAUAAAUCAACUGGAACUGAAUACGCGAAAAUACUUGGAGAAAUUAGAGUACCAAGCUCAGUUAGGAGUCCAACACAUUCAAAAUUAUGUACCACAAAUCAUUUUCAUUUUCGUCUAGACUGCCACACUAGGCACACUCUUGCACUUCAGUUCCCUAUUUUCAACCCCAAAAAUAUCUAUGAUGGAAGCCUUAGGGUCUUUUAGGUCAUUUGAUACAUGGUUUUGCGCCUUAAUUUUCAGUUUGAAUAUACUAUAAUCCAUCUACUUCAUAAGGGAGCUUGUAGGAGACACAAAUUCAGACCUAGGGUUCGGUGAAUUGAAGAACAAGGAUUGGGGAUUUUGAAGUUCUGGCUCAACGAUUCUAUUUGGUUAUGUCAAGCUAAACUCUUAUUUGUUUGAUUACUUUGAAUAUGUAGCUAAAUUUUCAUUUGCUAGGAUGGUGAUGUAAAUCACUCUUGUGAAAAUUUAAUCUAAUUUUUCAUUUUGAACUUCAAAUGUGAAUAGUGAUUGAUUACUUGUUAUUGAUUUUAUUACAUUCAAUUAUUUAGCCACCAGUUGAACUAUUUAUGGACUGUAUUGAUAUCGAGGGGUGAUAUUCAUGUUUAAAUCAAAUAUUUAACAAGUGCACGAUUACUAAAAAAAUAAAACGUAACAUAAAUCUGGAGAGCAAAAAUAGAUUUUAACUUUAUUUGAGAGAAACAGUUAAAUAAUUUAGGGAUAUUGUCUUCAACAUAAACAAGUAUUAUCAAUUAUGUGAUUGGUUGAAUUAAAGUAGAUAAGUAUACAGGUAAAAUCAAAGUUAUAUUUGAAACUUCUUCAAAGUUCAUAAAGUAUUUUUAGCUUAACUUUAAGUAAUUUUUUUAGUUAAAAUCAAAAUUCAAUUAAAACUUGGUAUAAAACUAUUUAGUUUGAUAUAUAACUAAAUAUAAGUUUUAAUGGAAUCAACACUCUAUUUGCUCUUGAUUACUUGUCCACAAUACCGUGCACUUACAAUUUUUAAGUGACAAAUGACAAAUGUGUCACAUAUUACUAAACUAAAAGACAGUUGAGAAUCGAGAAUUUUAAAUUACUAAGAAUUUUUCAAGGACAAUACAACUAAAAGACCAUUGCAAGAUGUCCUUUUUAGUAAAUGAGCACUUCUUGUGAAAAUUAGCAAAAUGAGUACUUUUAAAUGAAACUACUGAAAAUACCCCUAAUGUUAUAUUUUUAUUUUUAUUUUCAUAAAAUUCAACCAUUACUUGAUAGGUGCACAACUUUUGAGGCAAAUCUUGAAAGUCGGCAAAAAAAGUUUCAUUCUAGGAGAUCUUUUGGUAGCAAGCUGAUAAUUCGACUAAUUAAGAUAGUUAAAACUAUUUUCCAUUUUUUGAGUUGGUUAGAGUUGUUUUCUAAGAUAGUUGGAAUUAGGCCUGUGCAAUUUAACAGGAAUCGAAUCUUUCGAAUCGAAUUUGAAGGUUCCGAUUUGAUUCUCAAAAAAAAAAAAUUUGGAACCAAAAUCGAGAAUCAAUAAUCAACUAGAUUCUGUUCGAUUCUUGGCUCUUGAACUAGAACCGUGGGUACGUAAAUGGAACUGAUUUUUAUAUAAUUUUUUGUUUAUAAUUUAUAGGCUAGAUAGAAAAAUACAAAACAUAAAAACCCUAAUUUGAAUAUUAAUUAGUUUAAAACUCUAGACUAACAAAUCUAGACUGGCUCCUAAUUUUUUGCCUAUUGCCUCAUAUCAAAUUGUUGUAUGUCACAGGUUAGUACAUAUUUAUCUUUACAAUUUGGAUUUUUUAUGAGUCAAAAAAUUCAAGUUAAAUUGUGGUGUAAGUUGAUAAAUCAAAGCGUUCAUCCUCUGGGUUUACUUGUAAAAUUAUUUUAUGGAAAAAUGUGCGAUUGAAAAUGAGUAUUGAAAAAUGAGUUUUUGAAAAAAUUGAGCCAAAUUGGUUUAUCUUAAGUUCAUGGUUCUCUUUUGAAAUAUAUAUUAUUUUUUUCUUUUCUAUUCAAAAAGGGUGAGUUCAAUAUGCCAACUGUAAUUUCUUAACAUUAUAUAUGUAUUUAAUUAGUAUUUUUUUGUCAAUUCAUUUUAAAAGUAGAAGAAUUUAAGCAUUGUUCAUAAUUAAAUUAUAGGUUUUAGCAUGCCCCACUUAUGGAUUGAAUAAGAUUUAUGCAUUGUUUGAUUCCCAUUUUUUUAAAAUACAUUUUUCUUUCUCGUCUUUUCAACUACACAUUAUUCAUUAAAAUGAUAUUACACAUAAGUUAUUUCUUAUUUUUCAACCACAUAUUUUCCAUUGAAUUGACUAUUCUAAAAUUUAUUUUUUCAUAAACAUGGGGCUCCAUCACCCUCUUAUUAAGAAAAGUACUUUUUUCUCAAAUUGUAAUUUAAUUUUUGAUGCUUUAAUUUUCUUCUCUUUUCAUAGUUUUUAGUUUUCACUAUUUUGCUUCUUGAAGAUUUAUUAGCUGAAUUUUCUCAAUGCACAAAUACUUUCGAACAGUAUCGUGUAAUGUAUAAGUACUGAAAGGGACUAUAUGAAAAUGCCUAUAUAUAUAUAUAUAUAUAUAUAUAUAUAUAUAUAUAUCAUGGGUUUGAGUUUGGUUCUAUGAAUUACAAUUACCCGAAUUGUUCUAUUUACGAAAUACCCGAAGUAUAAUAGGUGAUUCUAGGUUAAAAUAUCCAGAUCGAUCCACCCGAAACCAAAGCCUUGUUAGAAUUGUCUAGUAUUCCAAUAAUUGUCUCGAAAAUGAGUAUUCUCUUGAAAAAUUUUCAUAAAAGGUAAGUCAUUUAUAUAUAUAUAAAUGUGUGUGUGUGUGUGUGUCUCCUAGACAUAAUUCAUUACUUCUAUUAGGAACAUGGAUAACAUAGAAAAGGUCAAGCCUUCUUUUAGAACAGCUCUAGUCAAAUGUUAUAUAUGCCCUUUUUGUAUGACAUCACGACACUCUACUGAAAAACAGGGGAAAAGGAAUAAAAUCACUUAGCCAAGCUUAAAAAUAGGAGAGUGAAGAGACAGGCUGAUGUAUUAGAAAAUGAUUGGGUGUUUUUGUUUUAAUUUUUCAAAUUAUUCAAUCAUGCGUCGACACAUGUUCCAUUUGGAUUUGAGACUGAAUGUGCAACAUUAUUGGGGAAAAAAGGGUAUUGUUGUAACAAUUUUGAGACUAAGUAAUUAAAUCCAUGAAGAACAUGAGCUAGGAAGCACCUUCAAGUUCUUGAGUGCAAAGAAGAGAGUGAGUUAUAAGUGACGAGGUUUUUUUUACUCAAAAUACAACAGUGCCUUAUACAUUCAGAAAAUUGAACUAAAUAUCAACAAACAUCAUUUGAGUUCACUGUGAUUCGGUGAAAAACGAAAAUAGGCGAGCUUUAGAAGAGAAACCGCAUUCCCUUAGCCCAUGUCAUCUAGAACAACUAGUCCAAACAAAGAAGAACAAGAUCGAGUUAUAAACUUUGUGAUAGAACUUCUCCAAUGUAUUUCAUAUGAUUGAAUAUGAAAAUUGCUUUAUUAUAUUUCAAUGUAUCAUCAUUUGCUAUAUCUUAAUUUGGUAGAUUUUCACUCUUACAAUUGAUUCGUCACUCAUCACCACGCGAUUGCAUUUUCGAUUGUCUAGAAAGUAAUAAUAUUAUUCGUAUAGAAAUUUGCAAGCUUACUUUUUCUAAAUAAUGGAGACAAUAAGAAAAAAACGACAAUGAAAAGCUAGAAGCCACAAAGAGGUCGAAAUGCCAUAUUCGCCACUUAAUGAUCAAUGAUUUCGAAGGAACUAGAUCUACCUGUUUUUUAUUUCCAUUCAACAGCUUUUAAGUCGCCAAUCCAUAUGUAUUAAUGAUAAUACCCAAACAACUACCAUUCAAUAGAGGUGAAUAUGAAUAUCAGAAAAUACGGUUGACUUUCUUCCAUUGCCUUGUAAUAAAAUAAUGUUUAUUUAAGGAUAAGAGAAAUUAAACAUGAGAACUCAACAGCGAAAAAAAUAAAUAUCCACAAAACACGUCUAGGAAAUAUUUGCUUGGAGAUUAUUCAAACAUGGAAAACUUGGAAUUCGCAAUUGUGAUCCCCCCAUCAACAAAAAGGUUGUGUCCAUGAACGCACUUCGACUCAUCGCUAGCCAAGAACAGAACAGCGUCAGCCACAUCCUCUGGCUUAAGUGAAACACCUUUGAGGAUAGAAUAUACAUUUCCGAAUCCCUCAUCAUCCAUUUUGUAGAAAUCCUUCGACUGCUGUGUGGGAACUACGUGUGGUGACACACAGUUUACGCGAAUGCCAUGUUUUCCAAGCUCCACAGCCAAAUUCUUCGUCAGUCCCACCACUUUUACUGUAUAAUAUAAUAAAAUAUAUAUAUCAAGCAAAGAUAAAAAAAACAUCGUUUUUGCUCCACCACUUAAAAAAAAAAAAAAAAAUCUAGUGCAGUGAGACAAAAUGGCACAAGUCAUUGUUGAUUUCUACAAUAACUUCACAUUCUUUUUUUUAUAUAGUAGGGAUAUGCCUCCUAGACAUAAUACGUUACUUCUAUUAGGAACAUGGAUAACAUAGAAAAGGUCAAGCCAUCUUUUCAAAUGUUAUAUAUGUCCUUUUUGCACGACAUCACGACAUUGUGCCGAAAAUCAAGGGAAAAGGAAUAAAAUCACUUAGCCAAGCUUAAAAAUAGGGGAGUAAAGAGACAAAUUGAUGUAUUAGAAAAUGAUUUGAUGUUUUUGUUUAAUUUUUCAAACUGUUCAAUCAUGCGUCGACACAUAUCCCAUCUAAAUUUGAGCCUGGAUGUGUAACAUUAUCGGGGAAAAAGGGUAUUGUUUUAAUAAUUUUGAGACUAAGUAAUUAAAUCCAUGAAGAACAUGAGCUAGGCAGCACCUUCAAGUUCUUGAGUGCAAAGAAGAAAGUGAGUUAUAAGUGACGAGGUUUUUUUUAUCCAAACUACAACAGUGCCUUAUACAUUCAGAAAAUUGAACUAAAUAUCAGCAAACAUCAUUUGAGUUCGCUGUGAUUCGGUGAAAAACGAAAAUAGGCGAGCUUUAGAUGAAAAACGGCAUUCCCUUAGCCCAUGUCAUCUGGAACAACUAGUCCAAACAAAGAAGAACAAGAUCGAGUUAUAAACUUUGUGAUAGAACUUCUCCAAUGUAUUUCAUAUGAUUGAAUAUGCAAAUUGCUUUAUUAUAUUCCAAUGUAUCGUCAUUUGAUAUAUCUUAAUUUUCACUCUUACAAUUGAUUCGUCACUCAUCACCACGCAAUUGCAUUUUCGAUUGUCUAGACAGUAAUAAUAUUAUUCGUAUAGAAAUUUGCAAGCUUACUUUUUCUAAAUAAUGGAGAAAAUAAGAAAAAGACGACAAUGAAAAGCUAGAAGCCACAAAGAGGUCGACAUGCCAUAUUCGCCACUUAAUGAUCAAUGAUUUCGAAGGAACUAGAUCUACCUGUUUUUUAUUUCCAUUCAACAGCUUUUAAGUCGCCAAUCCAUAUGUAUUAAUGAUAAUACCCAAACAACUACCAUUCAAUAGAGGUGAAUAUGAAUAUCAGAAAAUACAGUUGACUUUCUUCCAUUACCUUGUAAUAAAAUAAAGUUUAUUUAAGGAUAAGAGAAAUUAAACAUGAGAACUCAACAGCGAAAAAAAUAAAUAUCCACAAAACACGUCUAGGAAAUAUUUGCUUGGAGAUUAUUCAAACAUGGAAAACUUGGAAUUCGCAAUUGUGAUCCCCCCAUCAACAAAAAGGUUGUGUCCAUGAACACACUUCGACUCAUCGCUAGCCAAGAACAGAACAGCGUCAGCCACAUCCUCUGGCUUAAGUGAAACACCUUUGAGGAUAGAAUAUACAUUUCCGAAUUCCUCAUCAUCCAUUUUGUAGAAAUCCUUCGACUGUUGUGUAGGAACUACGUGUGGUGACACACAGUUUACGCGAAUGCCAUGUUUUCCAAGCUCCACAGCCAAAUUCUUCGUCAGUCCCACCACCCCAUGUUUUGAACUUACGUAAUUGUGUGAAGAACCACCGCCUAUUUUCGAGCAAGUACUCGCUGUUGUGAUUAUGUUCCCACUGCGAUUCGGGAUCAUUACUCGAGCAGCGUGUUUAGCACACAAGAACGGACCUACGAGGUUUACAUUAAUAAUCUUUUCGAACUCUGAUUUUUCGAUUUCAAGAAUGCUUGGAUUUGGUAUCCCCCCAAUACCAGCAUUAUUAUGCAGAAUGUCUAAUUUCCCAAAUUUGGCAACAGCUGUGUCAAUUGCAGUUUCUACAUCGGAUUCCUUAGUCACAUCACAGUGGACAAAAAUGGCUGAUGAUUUUCCCAGUUCCUUGCAUAAUUUCUCUCCCAAUUCAUCAUUGAUGUCUGCAACCAGAACUUUAGCACCAUGUUUGACGAACAGUCUGGCAGUCGCCUCGCCGAUUCCAGUAGCAGCACCGGUGAUUAAUGCUACCUUCCCUUCCAGCCUAGGUUCAUACAUUUUGUUAGUACANNNNNNNNNNNNNNNUGACUUUUGGAUAAUUGUUCUCUCUGUCCUCGUCAUAUCCAUUGCAACUAGGCAUUUAUUUAUUCCUAACUAAUCUGAUUUUUCAGACUUCCCACGUCAUUUCCAAAUCACGUAGGCAUUUAUCUCUGACUAAUCUUAUUUUUCAGAUAAUUGUCAUCUAUCUCCACGUCAUUUCCAACGCAAGAUCUGAUUUUACAGAUAAUUAAUGUCUGUUUCCAAGUCAUUUCCAACGUAAUUGUGUCCAAAAUAAUUGAAUUAUGGCAAUACUUCAAAGAAUGAUAGCACCCUGAUUGACUUUAUUUUGUUUGGUCUAAAUAUUUAAAUAUUGUAGAAGAUUAAAAGACAUUAAGGGGAAAAAUACGUAAAUAUAAUACUUUGAAGGACAAUGCUACAUUUACAUACACAUUUUUACCAAAUCUUUUAUCUACACUCACAAUAGGAGGACGGGUCCCAUAAGCCGGAAUUUUUAAAUGUACGUGGGUCCCGCGCGCAUGUGAGUGUAGGGCACCAAUUCGGUAACCCAUUUUCGGUACAUAUAUAUUUAUCCUACUUUAAGUAUACAUUUUCACACUUAACAAACUCAUAGAAUUUUUUUAUAAAUGAGGUGCUAAAUAAUAAUAUUAUAUACAGUAUUCUAACUGAAAUUUAGAUAAACUAUAGUUUAAAUUAGAAUAAUUUGAUAAACAUUAUCACAUCGUAAUAUGUAGCGUAUAUUCCUCCGUCCUAUUUAUGUAGGCUAACUUCCUUUAUUUUCUUGUCCCAGUAAUAUAGUCUUUUUUUUUUUAAUGAAAAUGUUUUUUCUUUUUCAAUAAUAUUAAAUAAAAUUAUUUAAUCCAUGCGAAAAAAUAAAACCAAUCUAUAUAAAUAGAACAGAUGAAGUAUAUCGUUAAUAUAACAGAUCCUCUCACCUCGCAUUCUCUCUCUCCUCGCAUUUUCUCCUUCUUACAACGAAUAACUCGUGACUCACCAAAAAAAUCUUUUACGCAUAACACUUUUUCAUUCUCUAUGUUAUUUCACGCUUUUUUGAAUAAAUGUUAUUUGUACAUAAUGGAGUUAAAUAAUGAUUUACAUAUAGAUAAUGUGUAAAUAAGAGAGUGGAGAAUUUUUUUUUCGAUUAUGUUAUAUGUACAUAAUAAUUUAUAUAAACAUGAUACAAGAAACGAUUGGAUCAGAUAUUAUUUAACACCACACAUGAAAAUAUAAGUUUAAGAUCUGAUUUUUGAAAGGUAUAGAUAAAAUGUAGGGAUUUGCUUAAUUUUCCAGAAAAAUAUUCGUACAAGUCAAGUCAAGUUAUUAUAAUUCAAAAUAAUAUAUUUAAAAAAUAUUAAAUUUAAGUUUUAAGAUAAUUAGCAUAAGAUAAUAAUUGUUAUAUUACAAACGAUUAGGUUUAUCUACAUUAUGUGAUUAAUCAUAUCUUAAUUGUACUAUGUUGGUUAACCAAUUCUGUUUUCUUGGCCUUCCACCCCCUUUUCUUUUCGUUCCUUGGAUGUAGUUCCAGUUUAUACUCUUUUUGCUCAUUCAUGAGUCGUAUUUAAUACCUCUAAAAAUUAAGUCUAAUGGUGUUGUGCUAGGCAAAGCUAAAAGAUCCACGAAUCGUUAACUUCUUUUCCUAGAAAAGAAGCGACGACAAUGAAUGGAAAAUAAGCAUCGGCUAUUGGACUAUUCAUAGCACAGUCCAUACAGCAAUUCAUGACUCGUGGCAACUGAUGAGGUUUAUGUGGAGGAACAGGCAUUGGCAUACAUGGAACGGUUGGAUAGUCGGCUUUCAAAGAAAUUGAUGUAACUUUUGCGUUUGGUGUCCGUUUUGGCCCCAUAACCUCAUUUCGGAAAGGUAGCGAGCGUUUCGGAUUGAACUCACAAUUUCGCCGUGACGUACGAGGGUUUUUGGGCAUUUGAAGUCGUUUAGUGUGUCAAAACAGCAUUUUAAGUUUUUGUGUUAUUUAUUUUCAGCAUUUGUUAUUUCCAUUUUAUAGCUCAGCCCAUUUUGGGACUGCUGGCCCAGUAGGUUAUCUUUUCUUUCAUAUUUAAGACGCUGCAAGACGUCUCCUAGGUUUUUCUUGGUUGUUCACGAAAUAAUAAAAGUUUGUUUCUGAAUUCAAUCCGUUUGGUUAUUGUUGUCGUGUGUUUGUAGAUUCAAUCUACAUCAUUUUGGUAUUAGAGCAUGGUGCGUGGGAGAGGACGUGGUGGUCGUGGUGGCCAGAUUGAUGAAGUUGCAGAUCUGCGUAAUCAAGUUGAGGCGUUGACAAUCCGAUUUGAUCAAUUCAUGACGUGGGCGGUAGAGGUUGUGCAGAACGGAACACCUCCUGCUCCUCCACGUCGUGCCCUAGUGAGUGAUGGUGGAGGUGGAUCUGAAUCAGGGGAGAGGUCGGAUGAGGAGAUCUUGUCAGAGGCACGUGGCGAUCGUGUUCAACAGCCUCGUGUGCAACAGCAGGACGAGUUUCUGCGAUGGGAAUCCGGAUUCAAGGUUGAUAUACCUGAAUUUCACGGUGGAAUUGAGGCCAAUGAAUUCCUCGAUUGGCUGGCGGCAGUAGAGGAGAUCUUGGAUUACAAAGAAGUGCCCGACAAUAAAAGGGUACCUUUGGUGGCGACCCGUCUGCGUGGUCGUGCUGCUGCGUGGUGGCAGCAACUGAAGCAAAACCGGAUACGUCAGGGUAAGGCGAAAAUCCAGUCGUCGAAAAAAAUGAAGAAACAAUUGAAGGCAGUGUUUCUUCCCUUUAAUUAUUCCAGGACUUUGUAUCAGCGUUUACAGAAUUUGAGACAAGGCAAUCGAUCUUUAGAUGCUUAUUCCACAGAGUUUUACCAACUGAUAGCGCGAAAUGAUUUGGGAGAAUCAGAAGACCAGUUGGUAGCGCGCUAUAUUGGUGGACUACAAUUGAAUUUGCAAGACGUCCUAAAUAUGUUCUCGCCGGUAUCUGUUUCUGAGGCUCACCAGCGAGCACUUCAGGCUGAAAAUCAACAACAACGUCGUUCUGUAAUAGGCAUUUCUGGUGGUCCAUCUGGAGGUGGGGGUCGACAAUUCGCCCCAAAUCCCACAUCUGGUCCGUCCCAAUCCUUUACAUCUGGGGGUCCGGGCGUUGAUCGGAACACUCGGCCAGUGGUUCCUCCAAUCGUUAAUCCGGGUGGUUGGGCUCCUCCUGGUGGACGAGGGCGUGGAAGUCAGUGUUUUGGUUGUGGUGGUUUUGGUCAUUUGAAGAAGGACUAUCCAUCUCAUGGGCAGCCACGCCCAGGUUUGUUCAUUGGAGGGACAACACAAGUUGAUAUUAACGAUCCUGUUCAUGUGGAGAAUGAAGAAGAAGAGGCUGAAAUUGUGCAUACAGGUGACACGGGGCCUCUUUUGGUGGUUCGACGGGCGUGCCUUACGCCUAAGGGGUCGUCUGAGGACCUGCAGCGAAACAAUAUCUUUCUGUCUACGUGUACCAUUGGAGGAAAGAUGUGUAGGUUCAUCAUUGAUUCGGGCAGUUGCGAAAAUGUGAUAUCUGAAGCGGCCGUGCAGAAGCUGUUGUUAAGCACCGAACCUCAUCCUGCUCCCUAUAGCCUAGCAUGGUUGAGACAAGGUAAUGACAUUCGUGUUACUAGCUAUGUGUUGGUAUCUUUUUCUAUUGGCAGUGUGUAUCAUGAUAGUGUUUGGUGUGAUGUGGUGCCGAUGGAUGCGUGUCAUUUGUUGUUGGGUCGUCCAUGGCAGUUUGAUAGGGAUGUGUGCCAUGAAGGGCGUCGAAAUGCAUAUACAUUCACCUUUUCGAGUAAAAAGAUUGUACUACUACCCCCCAAAGAUACGCAGUGUCUGUCUUCGACAGGGGACAGUAGUAAUCUACUUUUCCGAUCUUUGUUUGUGCAUGAGAUGCUGGCAGAAGGUGUUGUACUGUUUUUAGUGGGAACUGAGGCGACAGGAGUGUCGACAGUUCCUAUGGCAGUCGAGGGGAUGGGUCUUCACCCCAAAGCUGCUGCCUUGGUGUCUGAGUUUCAUGAUGUGUUUCCGGAUGACCUUCCACAGGGUCUUCCACCGUUGCGGGAUAUGCAACAUCACAUUGAUUUGGUACCGGGUGUGUCAUUGCCUAAUCGCCCACAUUAUCGAAUGAGCCCAGUGGAACAUGAGGAGUUGAGGAGACAAGUAGAGGAGUUGGUGCAGAAGGGGUACAUCUGAGAGAGCCUCAGCUCGUGUCUAGUCCCCGCACUCCUAGUGCCUAAAAAAGAUGGGAGUUAUCAGAUGUAUAUAGAUAGCAGGGCCAUCAACAAAAAAACAGUUCGUUAUCGCUUUUCGAUACCGAGGUUAGAUGACUUGCUUGAUCAGUUGGCCGGUGCAACUGUGUUUACCAAACUGGACUUGAAAAGUGGUUACCAUCAAAUAAGAGUCUGUCCUGGUGAUGAGUGGAAGACGGCAUUUAAGACAUGGGAGGGAUUAUUUGAGUGGCUAGUUAUGCCGUUUGGACUAUCCAAUGCACCAAGCACGUUCAUGCGGGUGAUGAACCAAGCACUUCGACCAUUUAUUGGUAAGUGCGUUGUUGUAUACUUCGAUGACAUAUUGGUGUACAGUGGGUCGGAGGAGUCUCAUGGUGUGCAUCUAAGGAAAGUCCUUACUGUUUUACUCAAGGAGAAGUUCUUUGCAGCCACUAAGAAGUGCGUGUUCUAUACCGAUAGUGUUUUGUUUUUGGGGUAUGUUGUGUCAGCCGGUGGGGUAACGGUGGAUGCAGCUUAAGGUUGAUGCGAUUCGGCAGUGACCGCGUCUACAGUCAGUUUCUGAUGUGCGGAGUUUCCAGGGUUUAGCGUCGUUUUAUUGACGAUUUAUUCAGCACCAUCAUGUCUCCCAUUGCUGAUUGCAUGAAGGAGAGUAAGUUUCAGUGGACACCUGAGGCUGAGAAAGCGUUUUUGAUCAUUAAGGAGCGUCUGACUUCAGCCCCGAUACUUGCGUUGCCUGAUUUCACAAAACCUUUUGCAUUACAUUGUAAUGCCUCUAAAUUGGGUAUCGGAGCUGUCCUCGGUCAGGAAGGAAAACCAGUAGCUUAUUUCAGUCAGAAGUUGGUAGGGGCUCGUGGGAGGUAUAGCACUUACGACGCAGAGCUUUAUGCUGUUGUUCAGGCCAUUCGCCAUUGGCGACAUUAUCUGUUUCAGCGAGAAUUUGUCUUAUACAGUGAUCAUGAAGCCCUCAAGCAUUUGUCAAGCCAGGAGUCUGUAUCUGCCCGUCAUGCAUCAUGGGUUGCCUUUUUGCAGCAGUUCAACUUUAUCAUUAAACAUCAGGCUGGUUCUUCUAAUCGUGUGGUAGAUGCGCUCAGUCGGCGGCAUGGGUUAUUAGCGCGGCUACAGGUAGCGGUCACCGGGUUUGAGACGUUUGUCUCUCUUUAUGCUGAUGACCCUUAUUUUGGCCCCAUCUAUCACAGUUUACUGCAGGGACCCCAUUCUUCUUUUCUGUUAGAGGAUGGGUAUGUGUUUAGAGGUGUUCAGUUGUGUAUACCAGAUUGCAGCUUUCGUCUGAAAUUGAUUGAGGAGUUUCAUGGUGAAAGUCAUAUUGGGCGAGAUCGUACUUUGGCUUUGAUUAGCACUUCAUUUUUCUGGCCUACUAUGAAUCGUGAAGUGGAGAAGUUUGUCUCACGAUGUAGGGUGUGCCACGUGGAAAAGGGGAAAGCCACAAACGCUGGUCUUUAUCGACCCUUACCAGUGCCUUCAGCUUCAUGGACUGAUAUUAGCAUGGAUUACCGCGCACACAACGUGGUAAUGAUUCCAUCUUUGUGGUGGUAGAUCGUUUUUCUAAAAUGGUGCACUUCAUUCACUGCAAGCGCACCACUGAUGUUGUCAAGGUUUCUCAGCUGUUGUUCAGAGAGAUUUAUCGGUUGCAUGGGUUGCCCACUUCCAUCGUGUCUGACAGAGACACGAGGUUCAUCGGUCACUUUUGGCGGAGUUCAUGGAAGUCAGUUAACACGUCGCUCAAUUUUAGUAGUGCUUAUCACCCUCAAACUGAUAGGCAAACAGAGGUAGUUAAUCGUUCUUUGAGUGACUUGUUGCGAUGCUUGGUUGGGGAUAAUCUACGCUCAUGGGAUCAGCGGCUUAGCGAGGCAGAGUUUGCGUAUAAUCAUGCUAGAAAUAGAAGCACCGAUUUCAGUCCGUUCUAGGUUGUGUAUAGUAUUCUGCCCCGCAGCCCUGUUGAUUUAUUGACUCUACCCUCUAAAACUCGGCUGCAUGGGACAACUGUUGACUUUGUUCAUAGUUUGCAACAAGUUCACGAGGAAACAUGAGCUAAUCUGCUAGAGUCCAACCGUAAGUAUAAAGAGGCGGCUGAUCGGCAUUGACGUCCUGUUGAGUUUGACGUUGGAGAUUAUGUUUGGGCGGUACUGACUAAGGAUCUAGUGCCAUCUCAUGAGCAUUCGAAGUUAUCACCUCGUACCAUUGGUCCAGUGGAAAUUGUGGAGAAGAUCAACCCCAACGCCUAUCGCCUUUGACUUCCUUCCCAUAUACGGACUUCUGAUGUGUUUAAUGUAAAGCAUCUUUUGCCAUACCAUGGAGACAACGUGGGAGAUAGUGCUACCGGUUCUAAUUCGAGGGCGAAUCCCAUUGAUCCCGGAGAGAAUGAUGAGGUUUAUAUGGAGGAACAUGCAUUGGCAUACAUGGAAUUGUUGGAUGGUCGGCUUUCAAAGAAAUUGAUGUAACUUUUGCGUUUGGUGUCCGUUUUGGCCCCAUAACCCCAUUUCGGAAAGGUAGCGAGCGUUUCGGAUUGAACUCACCACUUUGCCCUGACGUACGAGGGUUUUUGGGCAUUUGAAGUCGUUUAGUGUGUCAAAACAGCAUUUUAAGUUUUUGUGUUAUUUAUUUUCAGCAUUUGUUAUUUCCAUUUUGUAGCCCAGUCCAUUUUGGGACUGCUGGCCCAGUAGGUUAUCUUUUCUUUCAUAUUUAAGACGCGGCAAGACGCCUCCUAGGGUUUUCUUGGUUGUUCACGAAAUAAUAAAAGUUUGUUUCUGAAUUCAAUCCGUUUGGUUAUUGAUGUCGUGUGUUUGUAGAUUCAAUCUACAUUAGCAACUUAUCAAGAAAAUGAAUACAAGAUUGAUGUUUACAAGCUGUUUUAGCAACAAAAAUUGUGAUAUUACACGACCAAGUAAUUCAAAAAAUUUUACAUUAUCAACUUUCUUUCCAAUCCAAUUAGCAACAAUAAGCGUUCCAUCACCCUCUUAUUAAGAAAAGUAAUUUUUUCUCAAAUUGCAAUUUAAUUUUUGAUGCUUUAAUUUUCUUCUCUUUUCGUAGUUUAGUUUUCACUAUUUUGCUUCUUGAAGAUUUAUUAGCAGAAUUUUCUCAAUGCACAAAUACUUUCGAGUGUAUCGUGUUAUGUAUAAGUACUGAAAGGGACUAUAUGAAAAUGCCUAUUAAAUAUAUAAAAAGAAAAAUUGUUAUGGGCAAAAUUGAACCCAAAUCAAAAUCGACAGUUCGGGUUUGGGUUUGGUUCUAUUAAUUACAAUUACCCGAAUUGUUCUAUUUACGAAAUACCCGAAGUAUAAUAGGUGGUUCUAGGUUAAAAUAUGCGGAUCAAUCCACCUGAAACCAAAGCCUUGUUAGAAUUGUUUAGUAUUCCAAUAAUUGUCUCAAAAAAUGAGUAUUUUCUUGAAAAAAUUUCAUAAAAGGUAAGUCAUUUUCAAGUGAAUAUAAUAAGCUGAUAGACAAAUCAAUGAAGAAAAUUACAUUUUAUUCUAAUGUCUGUUUAGUAUUCAAGAAAAUCAUAAAUAUAAUAAUAUCUAAGUGCUACGUGGCCAAAGUGAGAGACAAGUGUUUAUGAGGGUUUAUGUCUCAAAAAACGCAAAUCACCUCCAAAACAAUACUCAAAAACAACACGAGAAAUGAGAGGCUUCAAAUUCUGCAUAAAUGUAGGCAAAUAGAGUUUUGCUACAUGUACAACUAUUUUGAUGAUCCAUUAUACAAGUAUUCUAACUCCAACAAGAAAUGGAUAGUCUGAAAGUCUCAAGAUUUUUCUAUCAAUUUCAAAGGGCUGCAAAUAUAUCCCCCAAGACUAAAUCUUGAAGGGCCCAAAAUGAAGACUCCAAAGGAUCAAGAAAUCUCACCGUCUCCAUGUCCCAAAGGUUUAAAAACUAAAGCUACGAGAUCAAAUUUCUGUUGGGCCUGCUGACCCCACAUGGAGGUUCGCCAGUGUAGCAAACAAUUUUUUUUUUUAAUAUAUACUAGUCGUUGACACGUGCGCUGCACGAAUUUUGUAUUUAUUAUGUUUUUAUUAGUGUAGAAAUUGUAUAUGUUAAAAAAAACAGUUGUUGAAGAUUUAUUGCAUUGUUUAAAAGUCUUGAGAGUAUUUUAUUGCCUCACUAAUGCCCUAUCCAACAAGGUGAUCAUUUCAAAAGCUAAUAUUACUGCACAAAGAAAAUCACAAAAAAUAAAAUUAAAUUAAAGACAUCGUGUGUAUGUAGAACAUGACACUACAUGAUAACAGAAACAUUUGACAUACAUAAAGAUUGCAAGUUUAUAGGAGUAAUAAAUAUUUGAUCCAUUAAAUAAUAAAGCAUGCAUCGAAAAGUGAAAAUGGAUUGCAAAUAAGUUGUAAAAGGAUACAAUGCAGUAUUUAAAAAAAAAAUGGAAAACCAAUAAGCAAAUAUGCUGAGUUGGAAUGGAUAAUUCUUGCACUGUCAUUUCCGCUUCUUCUCUUGGUAGUUUAUAUACAUCGGGAUUUGAAUAUACAAUAAGUAUUGGAACAAUUGCAUUAAAUCAAAUCAGUUAUUAGAACAAAGGAUUAAGAGAGGAAAUAUAAGUAAAGCACCUACCUAACCUACCAAAAAAAUGCAAAACAUAUCCAGAUAGUUCUUUCUAGAUGGCAAAAAAUACAUCCAAAAAUAAAGUAUCCUCCUAUAUUUUAUACCAUCAUCCAAAAAAAAAAAAAAAAAAAAAAAAAAAAAAAAAACUAUCAACUCCCAAUUCUUAGGAAUUGGACAAAUGCUGAAGAAUGAAAAAAAUUAAAUGUUAACAAAUGGACAAAUCCAAUUCUCUGGAAGUGAAUGAAUCAAAAUUAAAUGCUUGAUCAUUUAAUAGUUCCAGCACAAUGUAUAUGAGGUUCAUCUAAAAGUUCCAGCCAUAUAUAGAGAUAACUUACGAACAUUUGUAUUGAAAAAACAAAACUUUGCAAAAGAAUUUUGAAUCACUCUUCCAUUAUGGCUGCACUACAAAUUCUUCAUCGAUGUCAGGUCUCCCACUCCUCGGCAAAAUGAAGAUUCAAGAUUGAAUUUUUAACAAAAAAUGAAAUUCUAAGUUAAGGUAAGAUUUCUUCUUUUACCUAUCUAAUAUUUAUAGGAACUGCAAUGCAUUUAAGCUUUCCCUCUCAUCUAGCAACUGAAGAAAGCAUAAACAAAUGAAAGUAAUUUAGAUGCAAGCUAAGCUCCAAGAAUCAAAGUUUCACAAAAAAUAAUUAAAGAAUGGAAAGAUGGCAUUAAAGCACCAUCUCUUCUGCAUUCAAACUUCACUACAAACUCUUCAUCGAUGUCAGGUCUCCCGUUCCUUGGCAAAAUGAAGAUUCAAGAUUGAAUUUUUAACAACAAAUGAAAUUCUAAGUAAAACAACUGAAGAUAAACAAAUGAAAGCAAUUUAGACACAAGUUAAGCUCCAAAAAUUACAGUUUCACAAAAAAGAGUUAAAGAAUGGAAAGAUGGCAUUAAAGCACCAUCUCUUUUGCAUUCAAACUGCACUAAAACUCUUCAUCGAUGUCAAGUCUCCUGCUUCUUGGCAAAAUGAAGAUUCAAGAUUGAAUUUUUAACAACAAAUGAAAUUCUAAGUAAAGGUAAGAUUUCUUCUUUUACCUAUCUAAUAUUUAUAGAAACUGCAGUGCAUUUCCCUCUCAUCUAGCAAUUGAAGAAAGCAUAAACAAAUGAAAGUAAUUUAGACACAAGUUACGCUCCAAGAAUUACAGUUUCACAAAAAAGAAUUAAAGAAUGGAAAGAUGGCAUUAAAACACCAUCUCUUUUGCAUGUUUGAAUUAUAUUUGAUUCCGGAACAUUAGCAUUGCCAUGAACUUUCUUGUACAAUUAAAAGAAAAUUUUUUAUUAGGUCAAAUAUGUUGAAGUAGAAAGAUUGACACAUCAUGGAAAAGUGGGAAGGUGACAAAAAAUAAAUGUUAAACUACUUUGUCGAAAUAUUGAGAAAAUAAAUAUUCCUUUAACAGCUCACACAUGUCAUAUAACAUCUAUGAAAUGGAAUGCAGUUAAGUUGUAUUUUAGUAGAUGUGGAUUUGGUUCAUUCAAUCCACCACUAAGUCUAUCGAGAGAAUUAUUAGAUAGAAAAGAAAUUUACUGCGACCAUAUAUAUAUAUAUAUAUAUCAAACUUCUCACUAAUCAUUUUCAGUAAAAGAUAUGUUAAACCUAAAGUAACGGGAAUAACGCUUGUGGCAAAGCCCUUUCCCAUCCUUCACAAUAUAUGCUUUGAAUUUUGCUAACAUGUGAGAUGAAUUAGGCGCAAAAUAGUUGGUGAAAGUGAUUUUAGAUGAAAUGAAAUGAUUAUGGAACUACCAUUGGGCCAUUGAUGUAAUUGUUGGUAGUAUGCUAAUGCGGUAAUUUCAAUUCUUUAACACGAUAAAUACUAGAAGUUUUUUUCCGAAUUCUCCAAUUGGAAUAGUCAAGUUCGCCAAAACAAUAACAAAAUUUCACAUGGAUACAAAAGUCUCCCAAAUGACUCUUCGAUAAGAUUAAAAAAGGGAACCUUCUAUCAUUAGCUUUACUCUAUACAUUGAAGUGAUCCUAAAGCUUGAUAAAAACACAAAUUAUGACUUAACAUAUAUAUUGAAUUCCCAUCAUCAUGAUUUAGAGACCGAAUUAGAGCAUGUUUGGGAUGGCUUAUACGUAAUAUUGUAAAUAUGAGAGAGAGCAAGGCAAACCUUUUUUUUCUCAUACAUAUAUUUGCACAAGGUUAUCAAAGCUACGAAAGAGAACAGAGCAACAAAAAAAGAGGAUAUAUUACAAUCUAGAAAAUUUUUGACCAUGAUGGUGAACUUCCUGCAAAGAGCAUAUUGGAAGAAGAUGAUAAAAUCCAGAACGUUACGUUAAAAUCAAGUACGAUUAGAGCUAUUAGAAAAUAUACACAGCAAACUUGAAGUUCUGUCCAUUUAUUCCCAUAUAAUUGAUGAUAAUAAGCUAGGACUAAUAAUUCCUCUUCAGUCCAUGUGUCUUUUUUAAAUGAUCGUGCCCCUUUAAGAUUAUGUGCAGCAACAGAACUUUAGAACAUAGGCUAUGUCUUAACAUUAAGUAAAAACAUCAAAGGUUUAACUAAUUAUGUAGACGAGUACAUCUCUUGCUUUAUUUAUGACGAAAAGUGUGCAAUUGUCCUUAGAAGAAUAAUAGAAUCCAAUCUUAUGCUUUUCACGUGCAAGUAAUGACCCUUCAACCUAUUUAAAUGAUGGAGUGUGUUGAAGACUAUUUAAAUGAUGUACACGUGGUAUUAUCUGACAAUAUAAGCUUUUAGAUUUAGUGUUAAAAUGGUGACUAAAUAAAACAAGAGGAAAUAAAAAAACAUAGCUUAAUUGUGAUAUAUUAUUUAAACAAAUGAUUGCCCAUAAGUAUGUUUAUUGUAGUUCUUUCUAAUAAAAGAGCCUCAAACUAUCAUUAUGAAUACGGUCAAGCCUAUCAGUCAUGUAAAGAAACAUUGAAAAAAAAAACUAUCGUAACAUGAUAACCUCAUUUCAAUAUCUAUAUAAAGAAAUAAAGAACCUUUGAUUUGCAAGAACUUCUAUAUAGAUCGAAGAACCAUGUCUACCAAUCAAUUUAAGAACCAUAUGACAUUUUAUUAUCUAAAUCAUUAUCCACACAAGGGAAUAAAUUAAGUGAUGAAACGAGGGCAUUUAGUAUACAUUUGUUUAACAGGAUAACAAACAAUUUAAUCAUUUUUCUGCAUUGUAAUUGGUCUAAUAAGAGGAUCGUGACAAGAUCCGCUAAAUUAUGAAUUGAUUUUUGUGUACAACUCUAAUCUAAGUGUAUGCCAAACACGUCCUUUAAGUUGGCAACUGGAUAGAAUUAACAAAUUCCAGUAGGAGAAAAAAAUACAAAGUAAAACUUACAUUUCUACCAUGCCUCAGUGCAUUAUAAAGGAAUUGAUGACAUCUUUAAAACAAUUUUAAUUAUAGUACUCACUCAAAAUGUCCUUUUGAGUGCUAGCUAUUGUGAAAACUUUUAUAUUUUGACGUAACUAUAACAAACCAUUUAUUAUUGAUCGAACCAUUUAUAUUCACACAUUUUACGGAACCACAAAUACUACCCACUUAUCUAUUAUUGGUUCCUAUCUAUAAUAAUUUAUUAAACGGUUUACAAGCACUUCUCAAACAGGUCAACUUUAUUUUUUACAUUGUGGAUUUGAAUAAUAUUGUGAAGUUCAGGGAGUUAACUACACAAUUCAUUUUGUUUUAGUCGUAGAUAAAUUAUUCCAAUUCGUCAAAAUCUACUACAAAUAGCAUAGAUGUAUCCAUACAAAAACAAUUCCCGAAAUUCCUUAAGGGAAGAAAUAAUUGCAGAUGAAACAUUCCAAUCAAUCAUAUUAUGAGAACCAAAACAAAAAUGUCACCACAAAAUCCAAUUGCAAUAGUUCAUGAUGCAAAUAGAAAUUGUUGUAUAAUUAAUCAGAAUCAAAUAUGAAUAGGAAAAAUGUAUCCAAUCAAAACCCAAUAACUACCGUACAAAAAAGGAAAGAGAAAAUUGCAGACAAAAUACUCAAGUUAAUUGGAGUUAAAUACGAAAAAAAGCAUCCAUAACAAACCUAAUUGUUAGAAUUCACAAGGGGAAACAUAAAAUUCCUACCAAAAUACUAAAGUUAAUCAAAAUCAACUACUAAUCACAAAGAUGUAUUGUCGUGGAAAAUGGGGAACAUGGACUCAACUGCACAAAGGGCUUUAAAAUAAUUUUGUAGGAGGUCACGGCGUGCGGCAAUGAAUAGAAAGGGGUAAAACCUUUUUAUAGUAGCAAAUUAAGUUUUACUUGCCAAAAAAUCUUUUUUUAAUUAUUCUCUCGGUCGUUCUCUUUCUUGACGAUGAAAACUUCAAACCUCUACAAAAGAAAAUAAAAACAAAAGAUUAAAAUUUUUGGGAUGAAACCUCUGGCUAAAUUAAGCGGUAUAUACGAAAAAUAGAAAAUAGAAAGUCAAGUAAUUGUGUGGGAGAAGUGCAAAGAAGAACGGUAGUUUGUGUGUGAAAAUGGAGAAAUGGGAGAGAGAAAGAAGUAUGUGAAAGAGAAGAAAGAAAUGAUAGUUGUGUGUGGGAUUGGUGUAGAAAUAAAGCGCAGCUCUGUUCAGACAUUGCAUCUACAAUAAAAUGGGAUUUGGUUACUAUUGCAUCUACAGUAACCCUUUAUUGCCCUUUUGAUUUAAUAUUAGAUUAAAAAGAAUUUUAAAUUGAAAUUUUUUUUUAUCUAUAAUGUUGUAUAAAAAAAUAAAAAAUAAGAUUUCCUCCGUGCACGGAGGCAUGCAUGGAGACAUUGUCUCCAUGCAUAGAAAAAUAUCUCCAUGCACGGAGGCUUUUAGCCUCCUCCGUGCACGGAGGUUUCUUUUUCUUUUUCUUUUUCCUUUUUGUUUGUCUUGUUUUAUUUUGUUGUCUUAUUUUGUUUUGUUUUUUACACUACAAGUAUUUUUUUUUUCAAUUUAAAAUUCCUUUCUCUUCAAAUUUAUACUUGUAACUUUUUACUUUUUAGAAAUAUUUUCUGUCUUAUUAUUAGUAUUUUUAUUUUUUAAUAAUUCCAACCAGUGGGGGUUAUGAAAAAUUGCGUGUUGGAGUAAAUUUAGAUUGCCUUUUUUACUGUAUAAUAUAAUAAAAUAUAUAUAUCUAGCAAAAACAAACGACAUUGUUUUUGCUCUCCCACUUAAAAAAAAAAUGCAACAGCGAGACAAAAUGGCAUAAGUCACUGUUGAUUUCUACAGAAACUUCACAUUCUCCUAUUUAUAUAGUAGGGAUAUGUCUCCUAGAGAUAAUACUUUACUUCUAUUACGAACGUGGAUAACAUAGAAAAGGUCAAGCCUUCUUUUACAACAGCUUCGGUCAACUGUUAUAUAUGUUCUUUUUGCACGACAUCAUGACAUUGUGCCGAAAAUCAGGGGAAAAAGAAUAAAAUCACUUAGCCAAGCUUAAAAAUAGGGGAGUGAAGAGACAAACUGAUGUAUUAGAAAAUGAUUGAAUGUUUUUGUUUUAAUUUUUCAAGCUGUUCAAUCAUGCGUCGACACAUGUCCCAUCUGAAUUUGAGCCUGGAUGUGUAACAUUAUCGGGGAAAAAAGGGUAUUGUUGUAAUAAUUUUGAGACUAAGUAAUUAAAUCCAUGAAGACCAUGAGCUAGGCAGCACCUUCAAGUUCUUGAGUGCAAAGAAGAAAGUGAGUUAUAAGUGACGAGGUUUUUUUAUCCAAAAUACAACAGUGCCUUAUAUAUUCAGAAAAUUGAACUAAAUAUCAGCAAACAUCAUUUGAGUUCGCUGUGAUUCGGUGAAAAACGAAAAUAGGCGAGCUUUAGAUGAAAAAGGGCAUUCCCUUAGCCCAUGUCAUCUGGAACAACUAGUCCAAACAAAGAAGAGCAAGAUCGAGAUAUAAACUUUGUGACCGGAAUGAGAACUACUCCAAUGUAUUUCAUAUGAUUGAAUAUGCAAAUUGCUUUAUUAUAUUCCAAUGUAGAGUCAUUUGAUAUAUCUUGAUUUGGUAGUUUUUCACUCUUACGAUUGAUUCGUCACUCAUCACCACACGAUUGCAUUUUCGAUUGUCUAGACAGUAUUAAUAUUAUUCGUAUAGAAAUUUGCAAGCUUACUUUUUCUAAAUAAUGGAGAAAAUUAGAACAAGACGGCAACAAAAAGCUAGAAGCCACAAAGAGGUUGACAUGCCAUAUUCGCCAAUUAAUGAUCAAUGAUUUCGAAGGAACUAGAUCUACCUGUUUUUUAUUUCCAUUCAACAGCUUUUAAGUCGCCAAUCCAUAUGUAUUAAUGAUAAAACCCAAACAACUACCAUUCAAUAGAGGUGAAUAUGAAUAUCAGAAAAUACGGUUGACUUUCUUCCAUUGCCUUGUAAUAAAAUAAUAUUUAUAUAAAGUUCAGAGAAAUUAAACAUGAGAACUCAACAGCGAAAAAAAUAAAUAUCCACAAAACACGUCUAGGAAAUAUUUGCUUGGAGAUUAUUCAAACAUGGAAAACUUGGAAUUCGCAAUUGUGAUCCCCCCAUCAACAAAAAGGUUGUGUCCAUGAACACACUUCGACUCAUCGCUAGCCAAGAACAGAACAGCGUCAGCCACAUCCUCUGGCUUAAGUGAAACACCUUUGAGGAUAGAAUAUACAUUUCCGAAUCCCUCAUCAUCCAUUUUGUAGAAAUCCUUCGACUGUUGUGUAGGAACUACGUGUGGUGACACACAGUUUACGCGAAUGCCAUGUUUUCCAAGCUCCACAGCCAAAUUCUUUGUCAGUCCCACCACCCCAUGUUUUGAACUUACGUAAUUGUGUGAAGAACCACCGCCUAUUUUCGAACAAGUACUCGCUGUUGUGAUUAUGUUCCCACUGCGAUUCGGGAUCAUUACUCGAGCAGCGUGUUUAGCACACAAGAACGGACCUACGAGGUUUACAUUAAUAAUCUUUUCGAAUUUUGUUAGUACAAUAUUCAUAGUCUACUGAAAACUCGUGUGAUAAUUGCCAGCCCAACUAUCAAAAUAACAUGCCUUGUACUUUGAGAAAGAAACCUCAAGAAUAAAUAGUUACAUUUUAAUUAUCAGA